rnacentral:lncRNA from 1 species
UUUUUUUUCGUGUGAAGCUGUGAGUUUAAUUUUAGGAGUCGACUUGUACAUAAAACGCGAUUGUUGUGGCAAGAAAUAUAAAAAAAAAAAAAAAAAAAAAAAAACAACUCGAAACUUGUUCCUGGUGGUGGUGCGACAAAACUGACUGUUCAUCCAUUGAAGGCAUAGAAAAUGUACUGAAUUUUAAUGUGUUUCUUAAUAUAGUGAAUCACUGUUUAUUGGUCCUCAGAUGAUUUGUUUACUUUUUUUUUAUACUUGGGAGUAUAUGUAGAUUCGUGAUGAGAAUAUUUUGUUGGUAAUAUGAUAUUGAUAUUUUAUUUAUCGAGAAUGAAAUAGGUGACUACUUUACAUGUGUUUCAACUAUUAUUUUAUCUAUGGUGUUCCACUUCAACUUGCUUUGAUCUUUGACAUUUGGUUACACGAAGAAUAAUGACUAACAUGCUCUGUUUGUAAUUUGAUUUUGAUAAUAUAAGCUGUCUCGUAUCACCUGGAGAACAAAGUCAGGUACUUGAAGGGACAAAUAAAGUCACAUACAUGUAUAUAGUCAUAUGUGGUCAUAUAUAUGUAGUCAUAUAUAGUCAUAGGUAGUAACAUACAGUAAUAUAUGGUGUAGUCACAUAUAGUAAAUAUAUAGUUACGUGUAGUAACAUACAGUAAUAUAUGGUGUAGUCACAUGUAGUAAUAUAUAGUUAUAUAUAAACUAUGUAUUCAUGUAUGAGUUAUGUGGGGAAUAUCUAUGUAUACCAGUAUGUGAUAGUGCGUGUGUGCACAUUUAAAUUUGAAGCAAAAUUCGUUGUUUGUUUAACUCUUUUUCUUUUUCACAGGUCUUGGUGUUUGAACUAUUAUGUAGUAAGUUUUUGCGGGGUGGAUUGUGUUCGUUGUUCAAAACAAGCGGUUCUCGUGUUGACAAGUGCGAUUUGAGUCAAAUUUAGUCGUAUAGAUAACUGUAGUCAUGUAUAGUUUCAUGUAGUUAUAUAUAUUUAUAUACAAGCUAUGUGGUUUUUCUGAUCUAUAGUGAUCUUGAUGAUUGUGUUUUUUUUUCACUUUUUUGUUAGGCAUUAAAUUAUUUAUAAUAUCAAGAAUCAAAUUUUGAAUUUUUUUAUUGGUAUAGAUGAUUUUUUAUAUAUAUAAUCAACGGUUUUUAUAAUUGAUUGACCAUAACUUUGGGAUAAAAAAAUAGUACAUGGCUAUAUAUAAUUAUACAUGACUGUGGUAUACUAUAGUCAUGUGCAGUCAAUUUUAGUACAGUAAAUUCAAAAUUAAAAAAAAAAUUAAAAAUUAAAAAUUAAAAAUUAAAAAAAAAUUAAAAAAAUUAAAAAAUUUAAAAAAAAUUUAAAAAAAAUUAAAAAAAAAUUAAAAAAAGAAUAUUAAAAAGAAUUAAAAAUUAAAAAUUAAAAAUAAUUAAAGAAUAAAAAAAUUAAAAAAUUAAAAAAAUACAAAAAGAGGGUACGUAUAAAAAAAUAAUAAUAAAAUAAAAAUUUAUAAUUUUUUAUUAAAAAAUCUGAAAAAAUGAUAAAUGCAGGUCUAAAAAUGUGGAGUGCAGUUAGCUAUAAUGCUGAAUGCAGUUGGAAAAACUGAAUGCAGUUGGUUAAAAUUUAUAAAUAAGGGCACAAUAGUACUUUUGUCUCUCCAGGGGUGUAUCUCAAAGAAAGAAUUUUUGGGGCGUACUUAUCCCUAUAUAUUUUCCAUUCUAUGGGUGUAUAUCAAAUGGCCCCAAAUAAAUUUAAUGUAAUUUUAACAGUCCUUACUAAAUGACACAUUUUUUUAGGGGUGAUUACAAAUAAGCCCAUCAAUGGGUACUUAUUCAUAAAGAGAUCCAGACAAAAAUCUUCUUUACCAAUAAGUCCACACAUGGUCCAGAUUUUUGUAAAAGACUAAAAUAACCCAUCAAACUUUAAUACGCUCCAAUUUCAUCAUAAACUUAAUUUAACCUCAAUUUGACCCCAAAUUUCACAAAGUAUUCAAUUUUGACCCAAAACUUUUUUUUUUCCGGCGUUGACUUUUCAAAAAAAAAAAUUCAUUUCUUUCUUUCUGUACUUUUUUUCGUUUGAACAACAAUAUUGUUGUGAUUGACAGUAAUAUUAACUAUAUUACUGUUAAACACAGUAAAAUUAACUAAAUUACAGUUUAACACAUUAAUAUUGCUAUAUUAAUCUCUAACACAGUAAUAUUAACACAACAAAACUCAUUAUUAUUGUGUAAUAGAGUAAUAUUACUAUGUUGACCGUUCAACAAAUGUAAACAUAAUAAAAAGCCUAAAGAAUUAAUAUUACUGAAUGACAGUAAUAUUACUAUAACAACAUUAAUAUUACCGUCAACCACAGUAAUAUUACAAUAAUAGACUGUAAUAUUAUUACGUUACUCCGUGAAUAACUCAACCAAAAAAAAAUCCAAACAAAAUAAUAAUAUUGAUGUGGUUGACAGCAAUAUUACUAUAACAACAGUAAUAGUACCGUCAACCACAGUAAUAUUAUUGUGUUUACAGUAAUAUUACAAUAAUAGACAGUAAUAUUAUUACGUUACUCUGUGAAUAACUCAAACAAAACAAAAAAAACCCAAAAAAAUAAUAAUAUUGAUGUUGUUGACAGAAUAUUAUUGUGUUUACAGUUAUUUUACUGUCAACUACAGUAAUAUAAUUACGUUGAUUUAUCAACAAAUCAAAAAAAAAUAACAAAAAAUGAAAAUAUUAUAAUAUUACGUUAAUUUACUGUCAACGACAGAACAAUUACAUAAAUGUACUGUCAACGGCAGCACAAUUACAUUAAUUAACUGUCAUUGAUAGUAUAAUUAGGUUAAUUUACUGUCAAUGACAGCACAAUUACGGUCAUAGUUUAGCGGCCGACGUAAAAAUAACAAACAAAAAAAAGACUUAAAAAAACACUAAAGAAAGUCAACGCCGGAGACCGCCGGUCAGCACCGAAAACCGGCGAAAAAAUCCGGAAGAAAAGAAAAAAAAAGUCAACGCCGGCGAAAAAAUCCGAAAGAAAGAAAAAAAAAAGAAAAAAAAAUAUUUUUUUUUUUGAAAAGUCAACGUCGGAAUCCGGCGGCAAAAUUCUUUUUUUUUUUGAAAAAAAAAAUUUGAAAAAAAAAAUUUGGGUCAAAAUUGAAUAAUUUGUGAAAUUUGGGGUCAAAUUGAGAAUAAAUUAAGUUAAUGAUGAAAUUUGAGCAUAUUAAAACAUUCUUCCAAAAAAAGUCAAAAUUAAUUUUUUGUGGUCAAAAUUGGAUUUUUGUGGACAAAAAUGAUUAAAUUGGGGUUACAAUUAAGAAUUGAGUAUAAAUGGUUGAGGGUAAUAUUGACAUAUACAUGAAUGUUUCCUUAAUUUAUAAUAAAUAUUAAAGGGAUGGGCUUAUUGGUGAAAUAGUAUAACCCCUAAACCUAGAAUAAUAAAGAUGAUUGGUUGGGGACUUAUGCACAAAAACCCUAUUUUUUUAUUUAAAAAAAUAUUACAUGUACUAUGAAUAAAUUAAAUAAAUAUUUAAGAUAAUAAUAUUUUUAAAUUUUGAUUAAAUAAGAAAAAUAUUAUUACUUUUUAAUAAUCCAUAAGAAAUGACACCUUAUUUUUAUUAAAAAAAUAUCUUUUCAUUGUGGAUAAAUAUGUUAAAUAAAUAUUUAACAUGUAUAAAUUUUUUUAUAUAGGAAGAAAUAUUUACUCAUUAAAUAUUUAUAUUAAAAUUUGUAAUUCUACAGUAAUAUUUUUUAACAAUAUAUGCUAAUGAUUUAUUUUAUUUAUUUGUAACAUCAAAAUUCACUUAAGCCUUUUACAUUUAAGAUUCACUAUACGAAAUUUAAUGUUACAAUUAAAUAUUAAAAACUAAAUGUACACAAUUUUAAUGAGUUUAAUAAUUUAAUCCAUAAUAUGAAAAUUAUACUUGCUACAUGGUUGUAUAAAAUAAUAUAUGAAAAAUUAUAUUAUCCGAAUAUUAAUUUUUAAUAUAAAUAUUUAACAAGUAAAUUAUAUUUAAUUCAAAAUUUAAAAAAGAAUUGCUAUCUUAAAUAUUUAUUUAAUAUAUUCAUAGUACAUGUAAUAUUUUUUUUUUUAAAUAAAGAAAAUGUGUCAUUUAGUAAGGAUUAUUAAAAGUAUAUUAAAUUUAUUUUACUUCUAACACCGUUAAGAGUUAAAUAUGUUGACCGUUAAAAUAAGGGGGUAAGUGUAUUUUUCAUAGUACGAGGGGGUAAAUGUUACAUAAGAAAUAGUACAAGGGGUAAAAUGUAUUUUGCCCUAAAAAAAUAUAAGCUAUUGACUACGGAGUGUGGAGUAGCAACAUGUUUGAUUGUAAGCUAUGUAGCACGGAAACUUUAACUUUUUUUAUGUUUCCGCGUUUCGGACACGUUUCGUAUCCGAUACUCGAGGACACCUGCUGGAAACCUUAAGGUUCAUUUUGCAAUUUAAAAAAAAAAUAGAAACAUGUUUGAAUAGCAAAUUUCAAGAUAUUUUUGUUACUUUUCUAAUUAACUACGUAAUGGGUAAAUUACAACCACUCUCCUAAGGUAUGGUCAAAUUACGAAAAAAACCCCUCUUGUUUGAGUAAUUACAACUACCCCUCAACUAUAAAUCUUCUUACACGUCCACCCUUGUGGUUUCAAAUUUAGUGGAAUCUUCGAGAUUAUAUGGAAUAUUAUCACUUUUGUACCCGUUUUAUCCAGUUCGAACUCCACAUUUUGAAGCAAGAUCAUCAUAAGAUGUAUUUUUUGGCUUAUAUAUAUCAGACUGUGGUGCAUCAGAAACUGUAUUUUUACACAAAACAAGAGUACAAACUAGAGCACAUUCCAUAAAAUCUAGAUGAUUAUGUUGAAUUUGGCACCAUAAGGGUGUAGGUGUAAGUAAAAAUCAUAGUUGAGUACAAACUAGAGCACAUUCCAUAAAAUCUAGAUGAUUAUGUUGAAUUUGGCACCAUCCAUAAGGGUGUAGAUGUAAGUAAAAAUCAUAGUUGAGGGGUAGAUGUAAUUAUUCAAAUAACAAGGGUUUUUUUGUAAAUUGACCAUACCUCAAGAGGUGGUUGUAAUUUACCCUUACAUAAUUUAUAAUUGAUUGUUGAUAAUAAUAUUAAUUUUAAAAAUACUUGUAUUGAAAUACAAGGAAAAAAAUUAUGUAUAAAUAAACAAAUAAAACAAAUGACGAUAAAUAAAUAAUGGGUUGCCUCCCGUUGAGAUUCAUGUUUUACUGUAGACGGCUCGACAAAAUUUGGAUGGAUAAUAUCCAAUCCAAAGCUCUGUAUAUUGUGCAUCCAUCCAACAAUCAAUCUUAAUACAUACUCUGCAAUCAUAUCAUGGACUAGAUUGCAAUCUUGUAACGACCAUCGCAAUCCAUGGUACUUCUCGUUUGCUUCGGAAAUUAGUCGGUAGGAGACCAGGAUGGGUUGCUUACCUACCGAUAUCUCAAACUCGUACCCAACAUAUUCGAUUUUUGGAGUAAGCUCUACCUCAAAUUUGAUACUCAUCUCAUCUGUCACAAUCAAACCCGAAGUUGCGAUGUGGAUAGAAUUUUCUUCUCAAGGUCCUCUACCAUCAUCUUCAUCCCACUCUCAUCAUACGCAAAAAUAUCUACAAAACUGGGAUGAAUAUCUCCCUCAAGGUGAUCAACCUCGUCGUUCUCAUGAAAAUUCGUAAAUAACUCAUAGUCUUUAUAGUGAAUGAUUGGACGAUGUGAUUCGGGACUAUGAAAUCUCUGGAAAUUUUUGAAAAGAAUUACAUGUUUAAAGAUCCAUGAACCAACUAAAAACCAAAAAAGUUAUAAAAGAAGUUAAUAAGCAAAUCAACUACUUAGAUCAAGUAAAUAAUUAUUUCAUUUAGUCGUAACAUAUGCAAACCGCAAACAAUAUAUUACAUUGAUCGACGAGCUAAAUUAUUUGCGACGUAUACAUCAACAACUCGAGAUUUUGUUUUUUUUUUAAUUUUUUUUUUAAAUCAUGCUGGCGCUUUGCAACGCGAGUUGACACACUGUCCGGAGCACAUCUGGCAUAUUGUACUCGUCUCGCAUUCAAUAGUCUCACAAUAUUGAUACCAUGGAUCUUGAUAAUCCUCUCCAAGGACUGGACUUGGUCUUGGUGCAUCCCUAGAUUUAACUUUCUCUGCAAUUAUAAUUAAUUAAUUAGGAGAUAUAUAUAUAUAUAUAAUUAAUUUCAUCAUAUUAAUUAAAUUUUAAUUUUGAAACGAUAAAAAUUGAUAACUUUAUUAUUAUAACUUCAUAUGUACAAUAAAUUCAUAACAAGUUACUUGUUAGCUUAUUGAUUGAGGCCGAUCGGCAGGUGCGGAACCAGGAUAAAAACGUAGGGGGGGCUAGCUAAAAUUUCAUGGUUCGGGGCAGCGUCCAGAAAAAAAGAAAAAAUAGGUUCACAAGACAUUGCAAAAAUAAGUUUAUAUUGAAUUUGUUUAAUUAAAAUGACAUAUAUAUUAUAAUUUUAUCAUAUUUUAAGCGUGACAGAAAAUCUAAAUUAAUCAAAAUUAUUCUAAUAAUGUAUCAUACUUAAUAUUUUGGGAAUUCAUGGCAUCGUCUCAUGUUAUUUUGUAGAGUCAUUCACAAAAAAAUCAAAAAUAAGUAAAUCUUCAUAAAUUUUAAAAUAAUAGAAGUUUUAACCAUUUUAUUUUAAAUUUAUAUUUAAUAGAAUAUAUAUAUAUAUAUAUAUAUAUAUAUAUAUAUAUAUAUAUAUAUAUAUAUAUAUAUAUAUAUAUAUAUAUAUAUAUAUAUAUAUAUAUAUAUAUAUAUAUAUAUAUAUAUAUAUAUAUAUAUAUAUAUAUAUAUAUAUAUAUAUAUAUAUAUAUAUAUAUAUAUAUAUAUAUAUAUAUAUAUAUAUAUAUAUAUAUAUAUAUAUAUAUAUAUAUAUAUAUAUAUAUAUAUNNNNNNNNNNNNNNNNNNNNNNNNNNNNNNNNNNNNNNNNNNNNNNNNNNNNNNNNNNNNNNNNNNNNNNNNNNNNNNNNNNNNNNNNNNNNNNNNNNNNCAUAUAUAUAUAUAUAUAUAUAUAUAUAUAUAUAUAUAUAUAUAUAUAUAUAUAUAUAUAUAUAUAUAUAUAUAUAUAUACAUAUAUGUGUGUGUGUGUGUGUGUGUGUGUGUGUGUGUGUGUGUGGAGAAGAGAUAAAAAAAUUAAAGAUUAGAACGCAUAUUUACAAAAACUUUGAGGGGGCUAAAAGUAAUAUUCAAAAAAUGCAAUGCCAAAAUACCUAAAAAAAAUUUAAAUUUUGGGGGGUCAACAGCCCCCCAGCCCCUUAAUAGUUCCGCCGAUGUCGAUCAGUCUAGCUUGUACUUAAUAUGUUAAGUUAAAAAUAUACCGUCAUCAUCUCGAAUAGAUUUACGUGAAAUCGUGUGUGUGCGCGUGCGUGCCAGUAUAUUAUAUAUAUAUAUGGACACACACAAACACAAUUUAGCAUGAAAUAAAACAAUAUAUAUUAGGGAAUUGUGAUUUGAGCUAACCAGUUGAAGCGAAGACGAGGACGAGGACAACUAAGAAAACUAUCUUAAGUUCCAUUUCUUUAUUAAAUAAUUUUUAUGAAUUGAAUUGCAAUAUAUAAGAAGCUAUGUUUAUGAAGUGCUUUUAUAAUGUGAGAGUUUGUUCUCUCUUUAUUGCAGCAUUAAUUAAUUAAUUAAUUAAUUAAUUAUGUCAGUUUACUGCUACAUAUGUUUUGAGAUGUAACUCAUUUAUUAUAUGGCUUGUCUACGUUAACUUUAAACUCCAGUUUGUCAUCUGUUUGGUUUGUUGAUGUUUUGUACUCUGUAGUAUACACCUAAUUCCCUCAUGGAAAAUAUGCAAUAACCCUCAAAUAGGAAAUAUUUUGACUAAACUCAAUCGUAUAUAUAAAAGAAUGAAACGUUGGGGCAACCCAACAAAUCCUAAAGAAUUUUUUGUAAUUUUUUUCUCUACUAAUUUUUUUUAUAAUAUUUUUCUUUAUCUUUUUCGUUCUUAUCUCAGUGCAACGAUUUGCAUCUUUGUUUAUUAUUCACCUUUUCUUUUAAUGGCAUCUUAUUUUCCUAUUUUUUCCUCUACUAAUAUUUUUAAUUAAUUAUUUUUAUUAUAAUUAUUUUCUUUAUUAAUUGAUUCAUUUAUUUAACAAUCAAUUUCAUAUUAGGAAAAUUGAGUUUAUAUAAUCGGUUGCUGAAUAGGUUUAUAAUAUAUUAUCAAAUUUGUAUGAAUGUUGAUGUUGUUACUGUAAUUUAAAUAUCACUAAUAAAUUUUGUUAUUAUAGUAUAAUGUAUUUUUAUUAUAAUUGUUAUUGUCACGUACUAAAUUAAUUAUUUUUCACUUUUAAAAGUGUUAUCCCAUGCAUCGCACGCGGAAGAAUACUAGUUGACUUUAAAGACUUGUGGCUACACCUAAAUUUUAUUAUAAAUUAGUGAGACCCCCUGUAUUCGUGUGAGAAGACAAAAAUACCCUCAACUACUAUUAUCCUAAUUAUUUGGCCCACCUCUAUCACUUGCAUCUUCUCUCUUCUCCACCUCUCCACCUAAAUCCCUCAACUCUCUCCGAAAAUUCCACUUUCCUGAACCGCCGCUCGUUGUUGCCGCCGCUUCCUCCGUCGUCUCCACAUAAAUAUCUUUCUCUUGUUCGUUAUCUCUCUCGAUUUCUCUCUCUUUACACCACCAUCGUCUCAACAUAGAUCUGUACACCACCACCACCAUCGCCGCUCGUUGCUGUCGCGGCCUCCUUCAUCUCCACGUAAGGUUCUUUCUCCCUUUUUCGUUAUCUCUCGAUUUUGUAAAAAAAAAUUCAGAUAUGUCCACCACCACUACCACCGUCGCCACAUCUCUUACUCUAUCUUUCGUUCACCGUCGCCACCAUCGUUGUCGACGACUCCCCCUCCCUCUCUUUCGUUAUAUUUCAGUCUCUAUUUAUGUAUUUUUCGAUUUCUCUUUUUUUUUCUCAAGAUUUGAACAUACAGUUUCAGAUUUGAGCAGCAACAGUAACAUUACUAUAAUCAUAUUCGAAUAUGACUAUUCUUGAAUAUGAUUGUAGUCAUAUUCGACUAUACCUAUUGUUGAAUAUGACUGUAGUCAUAUUCGAAUAUGUUAUAUCUUCUCGUUUCAAAUUGACUUGUAAUAACAAGAUUCAAAUUGUGAUUUUUUGUGUAGAUGUUGAUUGGAUUGUUUUCGUAAACAAUAUAGAAUAUUUGUUGUUUUAUAUAAUUUGGUAAACAUGACUGUAACCACAAUAUAAUCGGAUUUUUUAAGUCAUAAAUGUAGAAAACUGCAAUAUAAAGAAAGAAUAUGACUACAGUUGAUAUAGUCACAUAUAGUUAUAUUCAACUAUAGUCAUAUUCGGCGUAAUAAACCUAUCGAAAAAAUAAAUCAAUUUUUUGCUUAAGAAAAUUUUUAAAACAAAUUAUUAAAUAGAUAUUAAAAAAUAAAAAAACUAAAAAAAAAAGGUAAAAAAAUGCUAAGUAAAGUCCGAAAAUAAUAAAAAUUAAAAAUUAAAAAAUUCAAUUAUUUUUUUUGAUUUGGUAGCAGAUUUUUAGGAACUAGGUGACGUGUUGUUAGGAAAAGAGAGAAAAAAAGAAAUAAUUGGUACAAACUGCUAAUUGACAUAAGGGUAGUAUUGGGAAUAAAAUUUUUAGGGGGUUAUCACAAAAAAAAAAUUAAGAGAUGGACAUAUCACUAUUUCUUAGUUAUAUGAGGGGUUUAUUGCUAAUAACCCCAUCCUAUAUAUCCUACAUAUAUUUGCAUGUAUAUAUUGAUCCGGACUAAUUUGGGCCUAGAGGAAAGCCCCAAACCCAAGUAAGUGAAACUGGAUGGUCAGGGCCGACUUGGGCCCAGGGGGAAGGCCCAUGUCAAGUUGAAGAAAGCCCAAUACCGCAAAAGGUGAUUAACGAAGUAUAAAACCUACGAGAUAGGCUUGCGAGGUAAUCCCACGCCUGACGAAGUAAGCAUUACGUCGGCGCUCGAAAGUCGUGCAGGGGACAAUUCUGGGACGUAAAGGAUGGGUGGCAGGUUUGAACUGACUGAGGAACAGUGAAAAGAACCAAUAAGAAUUCGCCACGUGGCAAAAUAGACAGGAUGACGGCUUUUCUAUCUAGGAAAUGUAAACAAGCCCAAAAGGGCCCAUAUUGUAGUAGUAUAUAUACUAGGUCAUGUGUAGAGAAAAGGGACAGUCCUUCUUGGAUAAAAAAGGAAUUUAAUAAAUUGGACCACCCAUAUACAUUAUCUUAUGCACAUUGUCUUGCUCAUAUUGUUUAAUAGUCUUUCUUAUUCGCAUUAUUUAGUGAUCUCAUAAACAUACAAGGUAUGAAUAUUCAAACCUAUGACAAGAUCUAAUAAUCUAUUGAAUAAAACAAAAAGUAAAACUUAUAUUAUUGUAUGUGGCUAAUUUAAGCUCAUCAUAUAUGUAUGUUAUCAUAGGGCUGGUGCUGGUCCCAAGGUUCGUGUAUAGAUCUAGGGGCGAAUUCAGGAAGAUUUUGUUUGGGGUGGUUUGAAAAUAAUGAACUAAGCAUUUAUGGGGUUUAAGGGCAGCACCCCUUAAUUUUUAUUUUUCUUUUGGUAUGAUUUUGAAAAGACAAUAAUUAAUAAGUAAGAACUUUAAUUUUGUUUGAGUAAAUAGCAUUAAAACGCUUCAACUGUGCAUGUUUUAGCAAAUUGCAAUUUGCUAAAAAAAAAAAUUGCCACCUCAAAAAAAAAAUCCUAAUCCCACCCCAACUUAAUAAAAUGUGCCACGUUGCCCUUUUUUCUCCUUUUGAGGCCGAAAUGGCCAGAAUUGGACACAGAUGCGCUGCACAUGCUAUUUGGAAGGCUUUUUAUCUCUUCAAAGAAAUUGGAGGAAUCGAGGGAAAAGAGGAAGAUAAAUUGUGGGAAAAUUGGAGGAAAUGAAGGACUUAUGGAUUUUGAUUUUGAAAAGACAAAAAAACCCUUCCAAAUCGCAUUUGCAGCGUGCUUGUGUCUAAUUCCGGCCAUUUUGGUCUAAAAAUGAGAAAAAAGGGCAACGUUGCACAACUUAUUAAGUUUAGGUGGGAUCGGAUUUUUUUUUUUUUUUUUGAGGUAGUAAUCCCCAAAAACUGGUAAAGUUUAGGCGGUUUAAUGUUAUUUAUGUUGUAAAAUGGCCUAUUUAUCUAGCUCUUUGGUUUGUGUUUGUGGAAAUACAUAAGAACAUAAUAACGAUAAUGGAGAGCGAAUGAGAGAAUGCAAAGAACAAGAAUCCAUAGAGAGAAAAUUGUGGGUAUCCAUGGGGAGGGAGUUUUUCUCAUUAAUAUAGGUGUAAGCCACCGGAAGUUACAAGGAGGAGUUACAAAUGGAAGUUCCAUGGAAGUUAUUUCCUGCACACAUCAUGGGACUAAGGUGUGGGAAGUUUACACUAGUGGGAGGUUGAAAACCAUCAAGUGGUUAUGUUAGGAAACCACACAUUCCAUACUAUUUACAACACUCCCCCUUGGGUUCCUAUCAAACCACUAUUGUGCUUUUUGUGUUGCCUCGUUAAAACCUUCCGAGUCAUAAAACCCAUUGGGAAAAAAACAAUCUCGGUUAGGGAAAAGAGUACAACGCACAAUCUUUUCAAUCAACAAAUGUUGCCUCAUUAAAACCUUGUCGAGUAACUAAAACCCUGUGGGAAAAAUAAACCUCGCACGAAGGAAAAAGAGUACAACAGGGCACUCGGGUAUCUUCUGGAUACUGAGUACCUACAGGGUACUCCCCCUCAAGUUAACUCCCUCUGAUGUCUACAAGGGAGCGAGCUUGUAUAAUCUACGCAAGUCAAAAGCCUUAACAUGAAUUUUCAUAGUGACUUUAGGCGAAGACUUAGUAAAUAAGUUUGCGUAGUUAACUUAAAUCAUGAUCUGCUGGAUCAUUUCAGCUCUUAUUGUUGUUGAUUGAAGAAAACUUCAAAGCUAUGUACAUGGAGUUAUCACUUUAAUGAAGCCCGUCUUCAUUUGCUCAAUGCAUACUGUAUUACAGUAAAAUACAAUAUCGUAGGAUCUUUUGUGUUAGUCGAUUCACAGGAAUCUCGAACAUGCAUAAUCAUGGCUUCAGGCCAAGUGCAUUCACUCACUAUCUUGUGAAACAAACAUCAUGCAUGAUUUGAUCUAGUGACAACCGAUGUACAUUUCAUAGAAUCCCAAGACAUAGCUAUUUUCCCAAUACUUAACCAUGGAUUGGGAACGAGCCUUUUGUGGAUAUGACUUCUAGUCAAUGCCAAUAUAAACCACAAGUUUCGCCUCAUUCAUUGAUGCAUAGAGUAAGGUGAGAUAAGUCUAUCAUAUAAAUUUACCGAAAAAUCUUAAUCAUAUCGAGUACAUGGAGUUAAGCAUAAUAAUGCAUAUAUUGCAUUUACAUAUGGCACUUCUGGUGCUAACACUUCCUCGUCCUUCUCCAUGGGACGAAAUGAAUCAUUGGACCUAUUCCACUUUCCAACUCCUAUAGGUGUUACUCGAUAAUUUAUCUUUAUCCAUAACAUCUUCUGGAUGUAAUUCGAUUGAUGGACAAAAAUUCAAUUGACAUGAUAAAUUUGAAGUCGGUAGGGACAAGAAAUUAGUCUUCUUUAGAUCUUUGAUCUUGAACUCAAAUUUUCAACAAUUGAGUUUUUCUUACUUGACUUCUAGUCUAAAUCAAGUUUAUGUCCUUUAUAUAAAUUGUAGUAAUAGGAACAAUCAAAACCAAUUAUUGUUCACAUAUUCUCUUCCGAGCAAUUGUUCACUUAGGCAAUUGUCUUAUAUUCUUCUAGAAUAUUUCUAGUCAUAAUUAAAGUGAACAUCUCAGCCCAACUGAGUUUAUGUUCCGUGAUCUGGAACUAAUUGCUUCGGGAAAUCGAAGUCCUUCUGGAACUUUCAUAUAAAUACUUGUAUCUAGAUUCUCAUUAGAUACUUUGUGACCACGUAUUUAAUAACAUUCACCAUGAAAGAGUAUACCUCUUUAAAAUCAAUCUCAGUAUUCUGAGGAAUCUUUGAAUUAUGAGAUGAGUCUUCGAGCUCCCAAUCUCAUUUGCCCAUAAAUCAUUGUACUGUGAGAUGAGUCUUCUGGCUCCAAAUCUCGUUCGAGCUAUGAGAUGAGUCUUCUGGCUCCCAAUCUCGUUUAAGCUAUGAGAUGAAUCUUCAGGUUCCCAAUCUCAUUUGAGCUAUGAGAUGAAUCUUCUGGUUCCCAAUCUCAUUUCAUUGAUUGAGCUAUGAGAUGAGUCUCCCGGCUCCCAAUCUCGUUUAAGCUAUGAGAUGAAUCUUCUAGUUCCCAAUCUCAUUUGAGCUAUGAGAUGAAUCUUCUGGUUCACAAUCUCAUUUCAUUCCUUGAGCUAUGAGAUGAGCUUAAUGGCUCCCAAUCUCCUUUGAGGUAUGAGAUGAGCUUUUUGGCUCCCAAUCUCGUUUCUUUUCUUUGUGAGUACUCACUUAUAUCUCAUGGGUGAAAUUCAAGGAGUUGUAGGAACUACUGGUCUCUACACUCUCCAUUUUAUCAAGGAAUCAAAUUCAGCUUGGAUUGAUUUCGGCCAUCAUCCAUUUGUUUACACUUAUCAAUUGAUCGAGGUUUUUAUCAAUCACUCGUUAAAACAUUCAGUAGCUACUGUGUAGGGAAGUUUAUCAUCGAUGAUCAUUUCAUCUCAAUACCACAUCUCGUUCAUGCAUGAAUAACUAACCGAGUUUUUACUAUUCACGGAAUGGAUAUUAAUGUCGAGGCGUCCCCCGACUUCGUCUGCAGGACGAAUCCAUAGUCCGGAAUUAUUUUAUGAGAUGGAUCAAGUGGGAUCCCAUUUAUACUAGUGCUAACCGGAUUCAAUUGUUGGACAUUCAUCCACUUCCGGGGGUGAGAAAUCAUUUGGUCCCAUUGCGCUCCCCCUAUCCUAGGAAGGGAGGCAAGACUAGUUAGCAUGGAUUGAUGGCCUACCCGUAAUUGUCCUUCUAGGACAUCUGCCAUUGCUGGCUUACUUGAGAUCUCGUCACUUUUUCAAAUCAGAGAAUGAGUCUGGCAUUAUUCGUUCUACACGACUUCAUAUUGUUCUUUAGAAACAUUAGUAUGGACGUUCUUUUCAGAUUUCUAAGUCGUCCCAUACGACUUGACGCCGUUCUUCGGGAACGUUACGAUGCACAUUACUUGCAAAUCUAUAUUUUCAUCCCGCACGACUUCACGUCGUUCUUCAGGAACAUUAGUAUGGAUGAUCUAUUAAUCUAUGUAUCAAUUGUCUGAUGUAGGGGAUCUUGAUGAGACACUGUGGGGUCGUCUCACACGACUUCACGCCGUUCUUCAGGAACGGUAGUGUGAACGUUCUUUCCUCCCCCUAACGGCGGGAAGACAGUCUCAUCAAAGUGACAGUCCGCAAUUUGAGCGGGUAAGAGAUCGCCUAUAUUAGGUUUUAAAUUUUAGUUAAAGAUGGUGAUACAUAGUCCACAUAUAUCUCCUUGGAUUACCUCCAAGAAAUGAAUUGAAUCAUUAUAUGUAUGUGCGUAUGCUGACAUAUAAUCAAAUUACUUGAUUUCGAGCAAUCGACAACUUAUGCUUCUGGCAUACAAAUUGUGGUUCUACAUAACCGUGUCGAAAAAUUCCUCUAAUUUUCCCAAUGUACGCUUCUGGUCGUACAUGUUAGAGAUGAUGCACAUAUAUUCGAUUUCUUGGCUUCAAUGAUUUCAACAUAAUAACCAUUAGCUCAAAUAUCUUUAAAGUUUAACAACGUUCUACUGGAACGUGGAGAAAAAAAUUGAGCUACUUCAAUGGGCAAAACUGUGCCAUAAAAUAACAUAAUGUAGACAUUACCAUAACCAUCUAUCAAAACUACAUGUGCCUCAUUUAGUUAUCAAAGAGGUCUUCCUACAAAUAGACAUGAAAUUAAUAAAAAUACGACUUAUCUCUAAGGAUAGUAUGUGUUGCCGCACUAUCUACCNNNNNNNNNNNNNNNNNNNNNNNNNNNNNNNNNNNNNNNNNNNNNNNNNNNNNNNNNNNNNNNNNNNNNNNNNNNNNNNNNNNNNNNNNNNNNNNNNNNNNNNNNNNNNNNNNNNNNNNNNNNNNNNNNNNNNNNNNNNNNNNNNNNNNNNNNNNNNNNNNNNNNNNNNNNNNNNNNNNNNNNNNNNNNNNNNNNNNNNNNNNNNNNNNNNNNNNNNNNNNNNNNNNNNNNNNNNNNNNNNNNNNNNNNNNNNNNNNNNNNNNNNNNNNNNNNNNNNNNNNNNNNNNNNNNNNNNNNNNNNNNNNNNNNNNNNNNNNNNNNNNNNNNNNNNNNNNNNNNNNNNNNNNNNNNNNNNNNNNNNGCCAAAUCAGUCGAUGUUGGUGCAUUAUUAUUGCAUUACCCAACCCCCAAUGUUCUUCGCACUUCAGGUGCGCGACCAAUUCUUAGAUCCACUAUAUAUAAAACAUAUAUUUAUGUUCUGAUUUUGAGCUCUAUUCGGAUUUUAAAGGUCAUAUACAAAUCGUUUAUGAACAUUUGCUCCUUGCUUCAGGCAAGCGUAUUGUCUUUUGGUAAUCAAAACGACUAGUCAGGGUAUCCCAUUCUUUAUGAGGACCCUCGUUCGAUGAAUAUUCCAAACGAAGGAUUUCAUCUAAUUAUCUCGUAAUCAGAAACAUAGUCUCAGCCUUCUGGGCUUUAUUUACCUAAUAAAUUAUACUCGAAAACAACCAUUCUCAAUUGCUCACUAAGCUUAUGGAUCUUAACAUCCAUUCUCCAACCAAAAAAAACUUUCACCAAGUACAUUAAGUUGGGUAAACUCGAGUUUGCUCAUGUGUUUCAUCUCAAAUCAAAUAGAAUAAUGAGUAUUAUUGUUUUAUGGGAAUGUAACCUCCAUAAACAAUUUCAUGAAUAUUUUGCACAUAUUAGAACUUCCGGUCUAAUAAUUCAUACACCACAUGUUCAUACACAUUCAUGGAUUUCAUACGAUAAACCAUAACGACAAACAAAAUAUUGUUUACCAUUUUCAUAUCACAAAAUUACAUAUGGCAAAUAUGGAUCAAUUGAAUAAAAUUCUUCAUUAGAGAUGGACCAAAAUCUUCAUGCAAUUAAGACUUUGUAAAUUGUCAAAUAUACAAAAUAUAACAUGCUAAAUAAUAUAAACAAUAUAUAGCAUGUAAAAUCUCAUAUAAAUUCAAGGAACUAAUUCUGAAAUUAUUCCGGUAGAUAAUCAUGAAUUAACUAAACAGAUCCAUAAUGUUAUCAAGUAUCAGCAGUGCAUUAGAUCAUCUUAAAAUCAAAUGACCAAGUAAUUGUAGCAAAAUUUUCUAACAAUUCAUGCAAUACAAAUUCAACCAAGAAAACAAAAUAUUAAUAUGCCUACAAUCACGUUCAGUAAGAAACAUAAACAAUUUCACAUUCAUCAUCAAAUAUAUUCACCCCUCAUUCUACAGUGCAUAUUUAUUCAUAAGCUUCUUAGUGCACUGUAUUCUAAAAUAUUAUGAUAAAACAUUCAUAAUACAAUUUCAUAUCAAAUCCUCGAAACAUGAAAUAAACCAGCAAGGUACUAUAAUCAUUUGACAAUAUACAAUCACACAUUUAUCGUCGCUAUUCAUUGAAUCCGGAAUGAAUGCAAAUGAUAAAAUAAUUUGCUACACCACAUACCAAAAACAAUCAUUGUGAUAUUUAUACCAUACUGUAACAUAAUUAAGCAUGCUUCCAAUAAUUAAGAAUCACAUCAUAUUUUGAAAUUAUCCACAGUAUAGAUGAAGUAAUGACUUGAAGAUAAAUAUGUACUUCAUGCAUUUCAUGCCAUUAAAUAGAUCUAGUGCAUCUCUUAUGAAAUCGAAAUUGCAAGGGAUUACGGCUUACUUGAAACGCUUAAACCCAAAUGUUGAAGAAUAUAUUGUAUUCAUCGAACAAGAUUACCAUUUCACGAACGAACUCGAAUCACAAGUUCUUCAAGCAUCCACGUGCCAAAAAUGGUUCAUUUUUCACGAGCACCUGAAUCACAAAUUCUUCAAGUAUCCUAGUCCCACGAACGAUUGUCUUUCCAGAAUCACAACGAGCAUUUCGUGCUGAUAACGUGUUGUAAAAUGGCCUAUUUAUCUAGCUCUUUGGUUUGUGUUUGUGGAAAUACAUAAGAACAUAAUAACGAUAAUGGAGAGCGAAUGAGAGAAUGCAAAGAACAAGAAUCCGUAGAGAGAAAAUUGUGGGUAUCCAUGGGGAGGGAGUUUUUCUCAUUAAUAUAGGUGUAAGCCACCGGAAGUUACAAGGAGGAGUUACAAAUGGAAGUUCCAUGGAAGUUAUUUCCUGCACACAUCAUGGGACUAAGGUGUGGGAAGUUUACACUAGUGGGAGGUUGAAAACCAUCAAGUGGUUAUGUUAGGAAACCACACAUUCCAUACUAUUUACAACAAUUUACCUUUUUUUAAUUAAAAUAGCAUAAAUUAAAAGGGUAAGUACAAAUGAGUCCCCAAAGCAGAACACGAAAAGCGUAACAGUCGUCGUCCAUGUUUCACACGUACAUGUAUAAGUCCCUAAAGCAAACAUAAACAUGCAAAUAGCUCCUUGACCUCACUCUUUCUCUCUUUAUACACUCACUCUCUCCUGGCUCCUCUCUAUUCUUUUCUCUCUCUCCUUUCUCUUCUCUUCUCUUUCUCCAUUAUUAUUUCCUCUUCCCCGAUGGUGAAAAAAACAGAAAAAUAUCACAAUGACAGCUAAUGGUGAACCAAACCCUAUCCCCACUCAAGUUCCUGGAAGUUGUCGGUACAACGAUCAACUACACAUCAUUUCCAUGAAGGUUGAUUUGACUUUAACGGAGAUGUAUGGGUCUGUUAUAAGGAAGUCGUACAAUAUCCAUCCGGAUGCAUUGGUCCUCCAAUACUUGACUCCUCGUGAAAAAAUAUUUGUCAAACUGAGUUGUGACGAGGAUGUCGUGAAUAUGGUUGCGUUGCAUUUGAUAAUGCACAUGAGUGUGGUCGACGUUGUCGUGAGCCGCAUGGAUGAACCAAAUGGGCAUGGACAUUAAAGAGGGUCUGAGGCGACAACUGGUGUGUUUUCAUUUCUGUUAACGUAUACAUUUUCAAUUUGUUAAUCAUUAUGUGAUCAUAGUAUUAAAUAUGAUAUGUAUUAAUAUAAUGUUAAUAUAGUGAUAGUAUGGAAUAACUACGCAGCCUACGCCUAGCAUCAUAAGCGGAUAAUGAUGGUAUACUAAUAUAAUAUUAUAUUUUUGUAGGACGACUUCUAUAGGGUGAUUCAAAAUAAAGUCACAUGGGAGAUAUAUCUAGAUGUCGUAUAGGAAGAAGGAUGAAAAAAAAAAAAAAAAAAAUUCAACGCUGGAGACCGACGACAAGAAAAAUAAUCAGAAAAGAAAAGUUACUAAAAAGAGAAAGUCAAAAUUAGAUAUUUUUGGCCAAAAUUGAUUAAAUUAAAGUUAAAUUGGUGUUACAAUUAGAAUUUGGGUUUACAAGAUUGGUGGUAAUUUUGUCAUAUACAUUAAUUUUGUCUUCAUUUACAAUAAAUAUUAAAGGGAAGGGCUUAUUAGCGAAAGAGAUAUAGCUCAUGAACCUAGAAUAAUAAAGAUGAUUGCUCAGAGACUUAUGCAUAAAAACUCAUUUUUCCUUUUUCGAAACUUUGCUUAUCUUUCAAUCAAAUUUCGUAACAUUUAUUGUGUUUAAGGAUUUGUCUAGGGAAAAAUACUCUGUGUUCUAAACUCAUAUGAGACAUGCUCCAAUUACCGUUAAUUUUGUAAGAUUAGAUCUUGACCCUAGGAAAAUAAUGAAUCAGUUACCAAAGUAGCCUUCGAUUAAUAUUUUUUAUUAAACCAAUAUAAAACAGAUUAACAUCAAUUAUCUAAUUUGCCCAUAACUAUAUUUUAAUGAAUAAUUAUUUGAAUAUGUUUUAAAGAUUCGAGUCGGGUAAACUCAUAAAUUAUGGGCAACAACAACAUAAAAAACGCAUAUCCUCUAUAAAAACAUAAAAAGCCAGCAUAUAUUCAUAAAAGAAAAAAUGAACAUCAAGAAUGCAUACAUGCUACUGCAUAUUGACAAAGAAAUUAAUUUGAAAUACAUUGUUCAUAAAGUAUAUGAGCUUUGCACCCCAUUGUAAACCAAAUAUAAAAAUCAUUUGAAAUACAUUGUUCAUAAAGUAUAUGAGCUUUGCACCCCAUUGUAAACCAAAUAUAAAAAUCACCUACUACGGAUCGGAUACUUCAUCGAGUACAUAGAACAUAACUUAAACUAAAAUGAAAUGAGAAUCGAGUGAAAUAAAGUCGCUUCAUCGAAGGAAAACACGGUGCUUUGUAUUGUUGCUAGAAAAUGCUGAAGUUCCACAAAAAAAGUUUUCAUCGAUUCAUGGCUUGCAGUGGCAACGGUAAAAAAUGUAAGGAUAAAAAUGUAAAUGCACCAUGCAUACUACUUAAAACUCUUAUCGGUUGACUGUAAAAGCCAGGGGUCACAUUGAUAGUGUAGGAGGGUAAAUGCGACAGUGCAGUGCUAAAAAAACGAGAUAACUAAUUAGAAGUAAAUAACAAUUUUAUUUAUUCGUACAAUUUGCAAAGUGCAAUACAAUAUAUCACAUUAACGAGAUAACUCGUCGUGACCUAUAUAUAUUAGCAUCUUUGAGAUUUAAUUUUUUUUAAUAGGCUCUGCAAUAUGAGUCGACACAUUGCCCAGAGCAGAACCCACAUCUUUCCUUUGUCUCGCAACUAACACUCGCACAAUAUUCAUACCAUGGAUCUUGAUAAUCAUCUCCAACGACUGGACUCGGUGCAUCCCUCGAUUUAACUUUCUCUGCAGAUAAUAUAAUUAAUUUCAUCAGAUUAAAUUUUGUUAUAACUUCAUAUGUAUCAAUUCAUUGAGGUCGCGGUCUAGCUUGUACGUAAUACGUUGAGUUAAAAAUAUGCCGGCAUCAUCUCGAAUAUAAAUUUACGUGAAAUCGUGUGUGUGCGCGCGUGCGUGUCCGUAUUUAUAUAUAUAUGCAUGUUUUUAUAUAUAUACAUGAUUAGACAUAAUUUAGGAUGAAAUAAAACAAUAUAUAUUAGGGAAUUGUGAUUUGAGCUAACCGGUUGAAGCGAAGACGAGGACGACUAAGAAAACUAUCUUAAGUUCCAUUUCUUUAUUAAAUAAUUCUUAUGAAUUGAAUUGCAUAUAUCAGAAGCUAUGUUUAUGAAGUGCUUUUAUAAUGUGAGAGUUUGUUCUCUCUUUAUUGAAGUAUUAAUUAAUUGAUUUAUUAAUUAUGUCAGUUUAAUACAUAUGUUAUGAGUUGUAGUAAUUAACUUUUAGCAUUUAUUGUGUACGUGCAUUAUCUAUGUCAACAUGAAAGUUGAAAGUUGAAACACCCAUUCCAUCGAAAGGAUCGGAGCUUCUCGUAUUUUUGGUUUAACUUGUUGAUUAUCUGUACCACUACACUAGAAACGGCGACUUUAGAUUUAAGGUCGCCCGAUAGCAAGCACGACCUUACUUUUGAGAUUGAAGGGGAAAAAAAAAGUUCGUCGCCUCUUCUUAGUACAAUAGAAACGGCGACUUUAGAUUUAAGGUCGCGAAUAGUAAUCACGACUUCAGUUUUGGGAUCGAAAGAAAGAGAGUUUUGUCGCCUCUUCCUCUUCUUGAUUAUUUAUGCCGAGUAAAUUUGAACUGUAAAUUUAAUUAAAUAACUACCUAUGAUGCACGGACAAGGAAAUGCAGACAAGGCGAUACGCGGACGCGGACACUGAGAUACGUCAUUUCAAAAAAUUAAGAUACGAAUACGCAGGGAUACGCGUAAAUAUUAAAAAUAUGCCGCUGGUGAUAAAUAAAUGAAAGUCACUAAGAAGUCCCAUUCACAAUGUUUUUGAAAGAGGUAUCCAAGUUAGGAUACGUGUGUCCUAUUUUUCCUAAAUUUACAGAUACAAUCCGACACGAAUGUCCUAUUUAAAUUUUUCCUAAAUUUACAGAUACAAUCCGACGCGAGUGUCCUAUUUAGAUGAAUUCAAAGACACGGCCCAACACAGGUGUCCGAGAGUAUCCGCGACUAUCCGAGUGUCUGAUACGCGAACACCUCAUGUCCUAAGAGUGUCCGUGUUUCAUAGAUAACUACCCACUAAACACAUGUAUACACAAGUCACAUACACAUGGUUGUAUAUUAUUAUACGUAAAUCUACGAAUCAAACAUCUAAUUUUCCCUUCUUCACCAUGUUAUUUGGGUGUGUGUAUUUCGAAAUGGGAAGAAACAAAGUUUGGACAAAAGUUUGACAAGAAAAAUGUAGUCGAUGCAAGAACUAGGUUCUUUCUCCUUAAGACAAAUUUGCCCCGUGCAGUGCUCUCGGUUACGGCAAUUGUCUCCCAAGAUACAACGACUAUUUCAAUUCCAACAAAGCAGUACAACAAUUAUUGGAACACGGCGAACGAAACGACGUUUAGGACUUUAUAAGACACGAAGAAAAUGACUUGGUAAUGCAACAAUAUGCAAUGAUAUGUUAUGACGAGAAGUGAAUUCAAUUAUGUAUUGAAUUCCAUGUGAAUAAUGAACUUCUAUACAUCAAAUGGUGGAUUUUGGAAUCUAUUUAUAGAUUUUCAAAGGUUAUGACCACAAGUCACAACUCUUAGGAAAAUAAUUUCAUGAAAAGGUAUCACACCUUUUCUCAUUAACUACACACCUAUUCAAUUUAAUAGGUGCUUAAACACCUCCAUCUUUUUCAAUGGUGACAUUUCACUUUAUUAUUUUCCACACUUAAAUAUUUUAAAUGAUCCAUUAAUUUAUCAUUCAUCAAAAAAUUAAUUUUGAAAAUUUAAAUUAAACCACUUAAAUAUUCAACAAAAUUUGAGUCAAAUACUCAAAUAUCCAACACACCAUAGUUUGGAAAUAGUCCGAAAAUUUCAAAAAACGACAAAACACUUUGGCUUCACUUGGCUUUAUAUAAGCAGGUGUUUCAAACAAACUUCGAUACUACAUAUGUACACAGCCAAAAUAUAUAGAAUAUACAUCCCACAGCCAAACUUAUAAUUAUAUCGAAAACAUAUAACUAUUUCGUAAUUACUUACAUCACAACAACACAGGGAAUAUACUGCACUAAGAGCAAUAUAAUAUAUCAUGCGUAGGAAACCGAAUCAGACAAACACCCUCGCCGUUGAAGCAACCGCCGGCUUACAGUCCACCUCCCGGAGCACCGUCUUCAGCCCUUGCCCACCGCCGUUAGCCAUCGGGUGUAUCCCGUGUGACGGCCCCUCCAUGUAAGCCCUAUUCUCCCUCUCCUUCGCAAACGACACGUUAUAACGCUUCUCCACAUCUGCCAUGCGUGCAUCAAAAAUAUUACAAUAAUUACUCAACAACUAAUUAGGGGUGGAAAUUAGACAAAUCAGAACCGAAUAAGUUGAUUUGCGAAAGAUUCCUAUUUUUCUUUUUCUAAAACUAAUCCGUUUAUGCUCCAAAGUAAUUGGGAGAAUCAGAAAUUGUAAUCCGGAAAUUGGAAUAAAAAACAAAUCAUUCCAGAAUCAGUCAGUAAUUUUUGAUUCUUUUAUGUUCUAAAAAAUAAAAUGCACAAUAAUAUUUUAGGAAUUAUUUUCAAAAAUUUUGUUCCAAUUUCCAGAACCGCUGAUAAUAUAUAGGAUAAAUUAAGAGAAACCCCCCAACUUAGACCGACUAAAUAACGAAAAACAUCCCACCUAUCCAUAUUUACCAAAAACCCCUGAGGUUUGUUUAUGGUGCAAACCAGCCCUUACGGUAUGACUUUUCACGGAUUUUUUUUAUUCGAGGGAAUAGACUUUCCAUAAUUCAUAUAAUUCAUAAUUUAUGAAUUUCAGAUAUUUUCUUUUAUUUCUCGCCUAAGAUAUAAUAGACAUAACACAUUUUUGUUGAAAAACUCGAUCAACAGUUAAUGUUGAAAAAAAAUCUCGAUCAACAGUUAAUCAGAGGGAACGAGUAACGAGUCAAAACACAACAGUUAAUCAGAGGAAACGAGUAACGAGUCAAAACAGCUAAUCAAAGGAGGAUUUUGAUUAUUGCGAAUAGGUGGGGUUUUUUUGUUACUAAGCCUAAAUCCAGGGGUGUUUUCGUAAUUUAUCCUAAUGUAUAUAUGGAAAAAUUGAAAUAUGUAUAUAGAUUAAUUAAAUAAAAUAAAAUAAAAAUUAGACCUUGAGCAAGGUUGUCAUAAAGCUGGCCAUCUCUAGUAAGGGCCAUCAUAACCUGCGGUAUGCCAAGUGGCAGGCUAUCCCCCCUAUCCACCUGCCAGAAAUGGAUCACCUUCCCGUACGUUUUAACAACCUUGUCGAAAUCCUGGCGCUGGAUGGGGGCGGGCACCCCCGGCAUGAACAGCACGCCGCUCUUCACCUCGAACUCGUGCGAGUGCCAGAACCUCUUCUCGUCGUCGGGCAGAGUCAGGAAAAGCUCCUCCGAGACUAUGUACUCCAGCCCGAUCAGGCGGCCGUCGUCGUCGGGGCGGUCGUAGAUCAGGCACUGCCGGAACUCUUCGUUCUGGUGCGCGCAGAAGUGGUGCGCCUCCACCUGCCUCGUCAUAUCGUCCCCGUAGAAAUGGAAUCUGAUGAUCAUUGAGCAAAACUAAUUAAUAUAAUUGAUUUGAUUUAAUUUGGAGGAAUUUGAUUUUGAUUGUUUAAUUGAUUGAUUUAUUUGAUUGAUUACGCGCAGAGGUGCUGGUGGAUUUUGUUGACGGGGCCGAAGCCUUGGAUGGCGGCGGUUGCUUUCUCGAGGAGGGUGGUGGAUGUUUGAGUUGGCUCGCCGGGGAUUUUUGGGUGAGUCAAAACGUUCACUCCUUCCAUUUUUUUUAUUUUUUUUUCUUAUCGAUCGGAAUUUUUGAGAUUUUUUUUUUUAUUUUUAGUUGUGAUUGCGAUUUGGAGAAGAGGGGGCGUGUAUGUAUUAUGUGAUAUAUGGUGAUGAUAGCUGUGGUUUGGCGUGGUGGCAUGCAGAGUGGCGCGUGGCAGGACGCGUGGCACUUUGAUUUUAAACGUGGCGAAAGAGUUGUCUGAGUUUGGGGCGGCUUGCGGGGAGUGCUGCUGUAACGUUAUUUAAACUUGUUCUAUGAUUUUUUUUUUUUUUUUUUUUUUUAAUUCUAAAAGCUCCAACUCAAAAGUAUUGAAAUGGGUUAGCAAAUAUUUAUUUUGCAUUUAAUUAUUUUAUUUUCACAUUUCUCAAAAUGUAAUAGUUCCAAGCUAUCAAAUAGUUGUUAAAAAUCUCAUCAAAAAAAAUACUUGUUAAUUAAAAAUAAUUAAAUAAUUGUUAAUAGUUUUAAUUAUUGAAUUUGUUUAGCGUGAGACAUAUGUGUUCUAAACUUAUAUUAGACAUAAUCCAAUUACAUGAGUGGUGCUACUAGUGUCUCAGUUUCAUUUGAUAAAGUCAGAACUCAGAUCCCAUUUCAUUUGAUGAAGUUGGGUCAACUCCCCAGUUUCAUUUGAUAAAUAAUAAUUGCAAAAAAAUGCAUUAUUAGGAAAUUAAACUUAAGACAUUUCACUACAUUCAAUAAUGCUAACCUUGGAGGACAUUAACUUAUAUAAACAUUUCUAACAAUCAUUUUAUAUAUUGACAAGACACAAAGUAAAAUGAGAAUAAAUAUAAGUAUUUAAAUAGAACAUUAAAUGCAAUAUUCAUUAUUAUUAAAUAAUGUUAAAUAAAUUAUUAAAAAAUUUAAUAUAAUAAACUGUGGUUCAAUAUCACAAAACAUCUAUUAUUAAUUAUAUAAAUUAAUAAAUUCCACUAUUAAAACUAUAAAGAAUACACAAUUAAAUAUAAACAAAUGCAUGACUUAAUACAAGCUCACCUAGGUUAUUAGAUCGACAGUGUUACAAAUUUGAAUACAAAAUAAAAUAAGAUGUUUUUUUAGAAGAAAAGAAUAGAUUAUAACCCAUUCCAAUUAGUUUUUUUACUUUAAAAUAAAUUAUAUACUCAAAAUACUAUAUUGUGAAUUUUAUUUUAAUAUUUCGUUUAAUCAAAUAGUAAAAUUAGAUUGAUUAAGCUCACAUCCUUCAAUUAGUAAACGUUAAUCAAAGAUUUGAAUCAAUUAAGCUUAAUAAUUAAUAAUAACGUAUAAUUGAAGUAAUUAUUUAUAAGUAAAGUCUAAAAUCUUUUUCAUUCAAUUUUAUCAUAAAAAAAUAAUAAAUUUUAUUCCUAACAUGAGUAAGAAUCAAAUCGUAAGAUUUGAAUCGAUUAAGCUCAAGUCCGUUCAAUUUGUAAAUAUUUUUCAAAAAUUUGAAUCGGUUAAGUUCAACCAUUGACAAGAAUGUAUUAACCGAGUUAACUAUUUAUAAUUAAAGUCUAAUAUCCUUUUAAUUCAAUUUUAACAAAAAAUAAAAAUAAAUUUAAUUCGUAAAAAUUGUGAAAAUCAAAUCGUAAAUCGUCAGAUCCGUAAUAUUUUGAAUCGAUUAAAUGUUACGAUUUUUACAAAUUAAGUUUUAUUAUUUUUUAUGAUAAAAUUCAAUAAAAAAAUACUAAACUUUAACUAUGCAUGAUUACUUCGAUUAUUAUGUUAUUGUAAAUUGUUGAGUUUAACCGAUUCAAAUAUUUGAAUAUUGUCUACGAAUUGAAAUGACUUGGGCUUAAUCGUUUCAAAUCUUUGAAUAUUUUUUUCGAAUUGAAAACACAUGAGCUUAAUUGAUUCAAAUCUUACGACUUAAUUAAAUCUUACGGUUUACGAUUUACGAUUUACGAUUCAAUUCAAACUUCAAAUUCUUUCGAAAUUCAUUUUUAAAUUACACGAGUUGAUUCGCAUUUCCUUAGAUUUUUAAAAUUUAUUAUAUAUAGAUUUGUUAAUAUUGGAUUUUUAAUAUAUAAUAUUAGUUAUAUGAGAAUUAGGAGUUUAUUUAACAUUACUUAAUAAGUUUUUAUAUAUGUUUUGUGUCCCAAUCGUAAGUAUUCUUGCAUACUAGAAGAGGUUACAAGUUCGAAUCCUAUAGGAUGCAUUUUUGGACGGGUGAUUUAAUGAUUUUUAUGAGUUCAAGCAAAGACUGUCACUUUUUUGGUACCAUUGAGUGGGAUAUCAACAUGCAAAUAUGAAUUUAUUAGCAAUUUAUACAACAUGAUUGUAUGAGUGAAUUACGAAUGUAUAUGACUAUAAGUGACUAGAAGUGACUAUAAGUUACUAUAUUUUACUAUAGGUGACAAAAGUGAGUAGUCAUACUUACCAGCAUCACCCAUCAUCAGUGGUAUGUACCCCAAAAAUUGUGUCGCGCGAUUUUGGCUUGUGGAUUUGCUUUAUGAAUAAAUCAGUUAUGCCUCUGUCCCAGUUGUAGCCAUUCGUUCGAUCGGUAUCUUCGCAGUAGUUGAACAUCCACCAAGCUACAAGUUCGCAGUACUUACACGGUUUUCGAUGGAGUGACGGGUGGACACUGAAUUUUCGUGCAACUAGGACUUGUUGCAAUCUUCUUGACUUGUCAAAACUCAUUCUUGCGUUCCCAGAUUGGAUGCCGAUAAUUUAUUUGCAAUGCACUAUGAUUUGUAACUUUUCAGUAUUAGUACAAAUGCCCCAUAAUAAUUUCGGGACGAUAUUUCCCAAAGUAAAUCGGUGAGUUGACACAACCCAAGUGGAGACGAACUCACCUAUUUUUCCUCCCCGCCCUUUUCAUUUUCUGAUUCAUUCCUCUUAAACCCUACCAUUUACCCACUGUACUUCCAUUUCAAUUCCUUCGUCAAAUUUUCCGAUGAAAAACCCUUUCCUAUUCCCAACCAUCGACCCUCCAUAAUCGGGCGAAUCAAAAAUUAAUCUGUAGAAAUAUUAUUACCAAGAGAAGCGGAGCGGAAGAAAUUCAAAAAAGAUGAGUACUGUUGACAAAAUGUUGAUCAAGGGUAUCCGGAGCUUCGACCCGGAAAACCGGAACGUCAUCACCUUCUUCAAGCCCUUGACUCUCAUCGUCGGCCACAACGGCGCUGGAAAAACCGUAAAUUAAUUCAUCUCAAUUUUUUUUUUUUGGUUUUUCAGUUUUUAAUUGACGCUGCUUUGAUUUCGGUAUAGAUUUCUUCGUAUGUAGAGUUUUUUUAGUUGCAUUAUUGGUACCAAUUUAGCAUUUUUCAAUUUUUUGUGCCUUUUGCUUGAGCAUACAGUUGUGGAUGGCAGCAGUCGUACACUGUGCACUAGAAAUAUUGUGUUAUUGUACAUUGUGCAUUGUGAAUUGUACUCUUAUGAACUAUGUAGAUUUUGAUUCGUUAUAUAAAAUUUUAUAUGAGUUAAAAACUUAGACCAUGCUACACCUUCUUCAAUUGUUUUUUUUUUUUUUUUUUUAUCUUCUCGUUUUUUCCACUUUUUCACAAUGAGGAUGUUAUGCUGUAUUCGUUCUUGAAAAAAAAAACUAACCAGUAUGUUUGUUUCUUUCUGCAGACUAUAAUUGAGUGCUUGAAAGUAGCAUGUACGGGAGAAUUACCUCCGAACGCCCGGUCCGGUCACAGCUUUAUUCAUGAUCCGAAGGUGUGUACGUAUUUUCUGUACCUAUCUAUAGAUUUCAAUUUAGUCGGGUAUUAAUAUAAGUGUACACUUGUAAAUAAUUUUUUUUUUUCUUUUUGCAAUGAUGAUUUUAGGUGGCCGGAGAGACGGAGACAAAGGGGCAAAUAAAGCUGAGGUUUAAAACAGCAGCGAGGAAGGAUGUGGUCUGCAUAAGGUCAUUUCAGCUUACCCAGAAAGCUACUAAGAUGGAGUACAAGGCGAUUGAGUCUGUGCUCCAGACAAUAAAUCCUCAGACUGGAGAGGUAAAAGAACUACCAUUAUGUGUUGCCUUUUCUAUGAUCACAAUUAUUUUAAGUGCAUUUAUAAAUAUUAUGUAUUCAAUUUGCUCAAUAUUUUUGAGGUUGGACAUUUGUGAAGAACAGACUGGCUCGAUUUUAACAGAUCUUUGUCAGUAUUGUAAUUGGUUCAUGCUGUUUUCUUUACACCUUUUCUUGGUACAAUGGAUUUGUUUACCUGGUGUCAAUUGAUUUUCUGACUGUGCUGGUGCAUUAGGAACCACUAUCCUGAUUUUAGGAACCGUUAAUUACAAUGCUGGUGAGCUUUAGGAACCGCUAUCCUGAUUUUAUAAAUAUUGUGUGGAUUCAUGUGCUAUCUGAUUAUUCCUUUUCAAGAUUCUAAUGGGAAGAGUGGACUUGAUAACAUUAGCCCUUUUUUUGAGGAGUGAUUGAAUGAUGCUACUCUUUUGAUGCUACACUUUGUUCCCAACGGGAACUUUGGCAUUUUAUGCAUAAAGCUGUUGUAUUGAGAAACUCUUCUUCGGAUAUAGGGAAAUGCAGACUUAUUUUUUUCAUUAGUAUAUAAAAUUGACCUGGAAGAAUGAAGGUUUUUAAGUUUUUGAAGUUGACUGGAGAACUACAACAUAAAAGGAAAACUCGAAUCGCGUGGAAGUGGAUAUAACCCUGGUCCUAAAAUUUGACUUAUGAUUGUCAAAGGACAGAGACAAGAAUAUGCUUAAGCAGUAUAAAUUGCAUUAAGUUUCGCCAAGAUUCUUGUCAAUGUUUUGUUGGAUACAACAGUUGUACUUGGUCCUGCAUUUUUGCUGUAUAUUUUUUUCCCUUUUUUCAUUAUUCUGCUACUUCCAUCUUUUGGCGGUUAUGGUAUUGAUGUUAACUUACUGAAAGUCAAUGUUUUAGUACUAUCUUUUUAUUUCAGAUUGCAAAUGACUUAGAAUUUGGGAGUCGUAAGCAGAAAUACUCGAAUCUUUGAUCAAUAAAAUCAUAGUCCUCGUUGCAGAUGAUUAUGCCACACCAAUUCUUGUGACAAAAUUAUGAAAUUGAAUGAAAUCAUUGAUCAAAGGGCCUUGGAGAAUCAUGUGAAUAUCUGAUGCUAUCUAUUAGUGGACGAUUAAAAGGGUCCUUUCUGGCUUUGUUGUCCUUGCUCUGUGUAUAUUAGACAAAAUGUUUUGAUGCAUCUGUUAAAACUUUAGGGAGUGAAGGACACUUGGAAUAGAGGAAAUGGGCUGUUCAGGUGCUUAUGCUGUUUGAAGAGACGGGCCUUGAAAAAUGAUGGUUUAUAUCAUGAAUCUAACUUAUAUAUGUUGAGAUGAAAUCGAAGAUUAAAUACAGCAACAUAACUUAAAAAUGAUAAUGGGACUGUUUCCGCAAAAAAACAAAUAUUGCAUUUGCACGCAAAAAAGUAAAUAUUGCCUAUUUGAUGAUCCAAUCUUUUGGGGCUGAAAACUGAGUAUGGAAAGUUCUCUCUUGAGGUCGUGUUCAUUCAAAUUGUUCCUUAUUAGUAUAUAUUGCUUUCCCGUGAAGCGUGGUUGAUCCAAGAGUCAUUUGGGCACUAAGGCAUAUAGUCACUUUUGGCUCUUUAAUGGCACAGGGUCAAAAUAGCCCAACUGGAUAGAGAAAACUAUGAUUGUAAUGUAACAAACAAUUAUGAGGCCAAACUAGUCAUUUCUUUCAAAAUGCUGCUUCUUCUCGUCAAACUCUAGGGACAGUGGAAGUAAGCAUAAUGUUCCAAACAUCAGAGAUCUUGUAAUAUAGGAAAACCUCGAACAAAGUACUUGUUUCUAGUUAUCACCAUCCAAUUUCUCUUUGUACCUCUAAGUCUUACCCUGUAUGGAUCUUUAGUUUUUAUAUGAUGAGUUAGACUUAUAAAUUAUAAUUUGCUUUUGAUUUCUCAAACCACUGGCUCGCUUAUAUAUGCAUUAUCUAUAAAACGUAUUAGGUUGGGGUCAUGCUGUCUUUAUUAACAAAUGUAUUAGGUUAAGAAUAAUUGAUGAUAACGUCUCAUGAACUUUAUUAUGUUUCCAAGUGACAGAAAGUUUGCCUGAGUUAUCGAUGCGCUGAUAUGGACCGAGAAAUUCCGGCACUUAUGGGGGUGUCUAAAGCCAUUCUAGAGAAUGUUAUAUUUGUUCACCAAGAUGAGGCUAAUUGGCCAUUGCAAGAUGCAUCAACGCUGAAAAAGAAGUUCGACGACAUUUUCUCUGCAACUAGGUAUGUUGUUUUCUGUAAGAGGUGAAGUAUAUUUUAUGCCUUUGUAUCUUCUGCUGUAUUGUCUUUAUUGAGGUAAAUUUUUUUUUUUUUUUUUUUUUUAUGUAUUAUUACUGAGAUUGUAUUCAUAAAUUAGGAAAAUACAGCUGAAAAAUAAUAUAGGAAAUCACCUGGCACAACAUUUUCUAAAUUUACCUUUAGCUAAUACUAUCCUAGAACCAUUUUUUUCUGUAGAAUGUGGUUAAGACUAGUUAUGGAAGAAAAUAUCACGUGGGAGGGGCAUAAAGAUGCAUGAAGACAUUUGUACCCUUGAAACUAAAGUUUGGUAUAGCAAACACAUCAACUUAUAAAUUAAUUGCUCAAAGUUGAUUUAUAAGUUGAUUUAUCAUAAUAUUUGCAUACACCCCAACUUUUAUAAAUAAGUUAUUUGAAACUUUACUCAUAAUUACCAACUUCUACUUUUUCAAAAGCUUUUGCCAACACCACCUUAGAAUAUUUUCUUUAUUUUCUCAUGUAAAGUAAAUCUGUCAUUUUGAUUAUUCUCGAAGGUACACAAAGGCGUUGGAGGUUAUCAAAAAGCUUCACAAGGAUCAGGCACAGGAGAUAAAGUCUUAUAAGCUAAAACUGGAGCAUCUACAAACACUGAGAGAUGCCGCUUUUAAGGUUCUCAUCACGGUCCUUGGGGCAUUAGCUAAGGACAUACACAUUUUUUUUUAUCUUAAUCAGAACAUUGAUUUGCCACCACUUGAUGAUCAUUGUAAUUUAUGUUUAAAAAUAUGAGUACAUGCCUGAAACAAAAUAAGUGGAAAUUGACAAACUGGCAGUCAAGUAAGAUUUAUUUUUAGGGAGGAGAGAUGGCAGAUAUCUUAAUCAUAUAAUGAAACCUUUUAAGGACAGUUCGCAACAGAUACUUUCCAGUUAAUGAAUUUUGAUGAGUUUUAUUUUCAGAUUAUACUAACUGACCAGUGUUGUUUAAUCCAGCUACGAGGAAGCAUUACGCAAGAUGAAGAAAAAACAGAAACUAUAAAUUUUCAGAUGCAGGAGCUUGACAUAAAAAUUCAGAAUGUGGACAGGGAGAUUAAUCAAACUGAAUUAAUGUUGAAGGACCUCCGAAAAUUACAAGGUCAGGUAGCUACCAAGUCAGGGGAACGAAAAUCCAAGUUUGAGGAACAGCAGAAGCGUUAUGCGGCACUUACUGAGGAAAAUGAAGGUCAGUCAAAUAAUAGCAUGAUCUUGUUUCUUCUUCUUUUUCCUCUGAUUAUAUGUUUCUGCUAUUUCAUCCCUCACAUUUUAAUUUUUUUCCUUAGAUACUGAUGAGGAACUGAAUGAGUGGAAAUCCAAGUUUGACGAGAGGAUUGCAAUUUUAGAUUCCAAAAUAGACAAGUUAUUGAGGGAAAAGGGAGAUACAGAGGAGGAAAGUCGAGCUCAGUCAGACGAGAUUGCAAAAAAUAUGAAGGAGAUUGCCAAGCUUCAAGCAGCCACCGAUGUAACUUUCAUUGCUCCCUAUGCUACACAAGAUUCUGCAUGUGCUCCGUUAAUCUCUUUUGUUCCUGGUCAUAUACUCUAUAUUUCGCAUGCAGGCUCAUAUAUCCUUGAAGAAUGAAAGAGACUCAACUGUUAGAAGCUUAUUCAGAAAGCACAAUUUAGGUUCUCUGCCAAGUGGGCCCUUCAGCGAUGAGGUUGCUUCUGACCUUACUGACCGAAUUCAAUCAAAGUUGAAGGAUUUUGAAAAUGACUUGCAAGAAAAGAAGGUUCUGUUUUCUCCUUGUGAAUUAAUUAUCGUUUUCUUCAGCAAUUUUUUACAUGUGGUAGCCUUUAAUAACAUCAUGCUGCUAGCAUUUGGCGCUAAUUUGCUAAUAAUGCUCCCAUUUUCCUUUUUGGGUGGUGUGACAAAUUCUGUCUUGAGAAUUCCAGAAUAAUUUAAGCUGACGUGGUACUUUCAAGUUGAUUGGCACAUAAAUCAAUUAGAGUCUUACGUGGAAAAUGGAUAUAGUUGGAUCCUUCUCAAUCAUUAAUUUAUGGUAGAUUUGUAUAAUUGCACAAGAGUCUAAGUAAGUAUAUAUUCAGAGCUCUCUUUUUGUAUACAUAUAUUUUUCUGGAGAUAUUCUUGUUCCGAUAUGAGUUUGGACUCAUAAUAUAUGCUGGAUUGAAACUCUCAUGUAAUGGAAAGGAACACAAACAGUUUUAAAUGCCUAAAAAAAAUAAACUUCAUUCUUAAAAAAUAAGUUAAUGUGAUCUUUACCAUUUUAAAUUAGAUGUCGAUAAGGAGUCAUUUUGUGUUUUUUUUUGCGCUGAAAGAUACAUUAAUCGUCAAUCUUGUGUAGUACUGUUUCAAGGAUACUUAAUAUCCUAAACUUUGUUUUGUUUUAGUUCAAAAUUUAACUUUUAACGUAGUAAGAAACGUGAGUACUAGAUCGCUUUUUGGCUUUUAUGUUGCUUUAACAUAUAACGCUGAACUUACUGAUUCGGUUAAAUUAGAAAGGAUAAGCUACCAUUGUGAUCCUCUGCAUUUUCCAACUUUUUUUUUCCCGAUUCCAUUAAGAGUUAUGGCUUAAGCUUUCAAGCAAUUUGAGUGCCAUGUCAUCCUUUUUGGAUUUUAUGUUGCUUGAACAACAAAAGAACCCAUUGCAAUAUCAAACUACUCCUACACUUCUUCACAUUAGGAAUGCACUAUGUAUCGGUUUUGUUUUCUUAAGAGAAUAAACUGAGCCCUUUUCAGCAUAUUAGAAGAUAUUCUUUCCUCGCGAGGAAACAUUGGUGAUAAUGAUUUCUCAAGUUUUCAACUGUUUUUUGUACCUUAUCAAUGUCUAUUGGAGGAAAUUCAGAGUGUACCUUCUUUUAGAUACAUCGUUUUCACUAAUCUUAACGAAACAAUGUAUGUUUUUCUUGUAAGAUUAUUCAUCACGCUCCUCGAGUGAGGUGAUCCCUUAAUAUCCUUUUAGUUAUGGUCCUUCUGGAAGACGAUUACCAAAACCACGUUUUUGGACCUAUAGAGUGUCAGUUUUCAGUCUUAGAAACCCCAUUAGGAUAUUCAUUUUGUUCAGGUAGUAUUUUCUUGACAAGAUGGUCUUUUUUAUCUGCUUUUUCUUGUUUAGCUUCUAUUACUUUCAUUGUAUCUAUGUUUGAUUUUGAUGAUAGGCUUGUCUGUGAUUUUAUAUUAAUCCAGAAAUCAAAUGACUUGGAACUUAAAGCAGCAUUUGAUCAAUACAUGCAUGCAAAUGACCGAUGGAAAGAAAUUGAGGCUCAGAAAGAGGCUAAAGCAGAUAUGAAGGUUUGUCAUUGAGUAUGAUUUCCGUCUAUUUUGAGGGUUGUUACUUUUUCCAAUUAAUUUUGUAUGAUUCUUUCACAGACUCGUAUUUUGGAACGUAUUCGAGAGAAGGAGGUUGAACGUGAUUCAUUUGAAGGUCAGGUUGCUGCUGUUGAUGUUACCAUCAUUAAUGAGAGAGAUAGGAACAUGGUAAUCACAAAGUUCUGAUUCAAUUUUAAAAGUUGCCUUUUAUCUUGUCGAAGAACUAAUUUUAUCUUCCUAAAAUGCAGGAAAUUGAAGUGGAAAGGAGAGCUAAUCAGUUUGCUGCAAGAGAAUUUGAGUUGACCCUUCGACAAAAGCAACGUGAAAAGUUUAACCUGGACCAAGAAAUUGAUGCUCUUAGUAAGGAAAGGGACACCAUGAGUGCUGAUUCCCAUGAAAGAGUUGUACUUUCUCUUAAGAAAGCAGAGUUGGAAAGUUACAAAAAGAAACAUAGAAGAAUGCAAGUUCUUAAAUUUUCAAACUAUUCUAUUUCGUGUAAGAAAAUAAUUUUUUUUUAACUAAUAGGUAUUUCUACUAUAUUAUCCAGAGUGGAUGAUUGCAAGGAGAGUGUUAGAGGAGUGCUAAAGGGAAGGAUUCCACCUGACAAGGAUUUGAAGAAGGAAGUUCUUCAGGUUCAAAGGUUGUUAUAGCUGUCUUUUCACUUUUACUUUUUCAUGUGUAGGGUGGGCUACCAUGGUAUUUUUCUUUUUGAUUGGUGAAUGCUUUUGGAUGUGCUUUCACUUGAAGCUUAACAUAAAUUUUGCUAAGUUAAGGAGUGCACUAUAUGAAUUAGGUAACAUGGAUUGAUAUAAUAGAAGUUAUACGUGCACCACAUAUGCAUGCAAAGAUCUACUUGAACUCCACGAUGCGAGUAAUGAAGCUGUUUAAAUUGUUUCUUGAGUCGAAAUUCAGUCAUUAUUAUGUUUUAGCUAGCUUUCGACUUUAAGUAAUGUUUGGCAGAGCUUGUGUAGUAUUUUUUUCUUCGUCUCAGUGAUCCGUUUGACCUAAAUUUGAAAAAUAUGCAUUUAGAUCUUUGGCCAAGUUAUAUAAUUUUGAGAGCAUGUGGUUCAUAUGUGUGGGCUCACUCGCCUCACUUUAAUAUAGUUGUCUAUAUAGAAGUUUAAAGUUGCAUUUACUUUUUUCUAGCUAUCUAUUGUUCUCUAUUAUAUGAAGAGAUUUUUUUAUUCUUUCUUCAAGUCCUUGAAGAUGUCUCUCUUAUUUCCCGUUAGAAUCUCCCUUGCUGCCGCAUCAGUAAGGUAUUAUUAGUAGUUGAUUUAGAUCCUUGAAUUCAAACUCAGGCUAGCAUCUGGGUAGGGGAAAGUGCUGCACAUUUUUUUCUUUCGAGAAUGUUAGGUAUUUGGACGUGUGAUUAUACUGGGCGUGGUAACUCAAGUAAAUUAAUGUCACGAAAGGAAAGCUCCAGUUUUGAUAUAUUUUUAUGAUGUAGGAAGUUCAUGCUUGAGAGCUUUAUUGUAGGAGGUUGGAUAUAGAAACAGUAAUUGCAUUGUUAGAAUCCAUUUGUAAUUGUUGCCGAGUCCUCACAAUAAAAUAAAUAAAUCAGGAAAUUGGCAGAUUGCUCCACAUUCAUAUGUUAUACUUUGAGUUCAAUGAGUUAGAGAAAUUUUUGAAGUGUAGAAUAUCAUAUUAAUGUUCAAAACGUUCAUACUGACCAAAACAUAACUUAAGGGUCUUUGUCACUGGGAGGCUUACAAAUAUUGGUCUUUCAUAUGAUUGAACUAUCGAUUUUCUUAUCUCUAGUCUAGUUCUCUAAGAAAGUUUAUGUAUGUCAUAAUAUCAUUUUUGCUGUUGCAGUUCUCUCCAGAGAGAGUAUGAUGACUUAGACCACAAAGCUGAUGAAGCCAGAAAUGAUGUGACUACCAUGAAGUUGAAAAUACAAGAAAUUAGCAGUAACUUGUCCAAAUUCCGCAAAGAUCUAGAGUGUAAGCCUUACUGGGAAUGUUGCACUAAAUUCUAUCAAGAAUACGAAUGUAUUAUCACUGUUUUUCCUCAUAUCAAACAAAAAAAAAAUAUUAGUUCUCGCUUAGAAAUAAAUUUUCGUAAAAUCUCAUCUAAUAACUAACUAUUAACAAGUAGUAAAGUAAGGUUCUAUUCCAACAUGAACAAAAAAGACAAUAUACAGGAUGGGUCGAAAGAUUUGUGAUACUUGGCUUGAUUCAGGGAAACUACAAGAUAUAUAAAGAAUAUACCAACCCUAAGGCUCCAUAGGUUUAAUUGUGGAUCGAAGACAACAAUAGAAACAUUUGAGUCUUAAAUUUUUAUUUAAUUUGGAAUGCACGCAUAUCAGGAACCAAGUUUUCAUCAAAGGACCAAGUGAAAUUUGUAACUCAAAUAUAUGUUCCUACUUUGUUCUUGAAGAUACUUAAGAGCACAUAUUUCUUUGAAUUAUAUGCACAAAUUUUGCAAUAAAAACUUUCUCUUUGGAGAUUGGUAACCAUAUUAACAGAUUGAAGGAAUGAGUUUUAUUGUCAGGCCAUGGCACACUUGUUAUUUAGUGAUCUUUGAUGGCCAUAUACACGAUUGAAAGAACUUUAUCCUUUUAUUGGCUUCUUCCCUUUUUUUUUGGAAAGGUCUACUCCAGUUAGAUUUAAAUUUUGUUUCGCUCUUUUGUGCUCUUCUUUCUGGUGUUUUUAAAAAGAAGCUCGUAUUCUUAGUCCCUCAAUCUUUGUGUAGAGUUCUGUGGAUCAUUUCAUAAUCACUUUCUGAUUGGUUUGAAUAAUGCAGCUAGACAGAGGUUUCUUGAAUCUAAACUUCAGUCUUCAGACCAGCCGUCUGGUGGUAUCGACUCAUAUUUUACAAUCUUAGAGACUGCUAAGGAAAAGAGAGAUGUCCAGAGAAGGUUUCUGUUUUAUGUAUAUUUGUACAUACCAGUCCCGUGCAUUAAUGUGUAUGUAGUAGCAACAGCCUGAGACUUAUUGAAUUAAAUGCAGUAAAUAUAACAUUGCUGAUGGCAUGAGGCAAAUGUUUGAUCCAUUUGAAAGAGUUGCACGUGCUCAUCACAUUUGUCCUUGCUGUGAGAGACCUUUUUCAUCAAAUGAGGAAGAUGAAUUUGUUAAAAAGGUACUUGGGUUCACUAAAAUUUAUAGACGACUUAUUACACUUAUUGUGUGAAGCAAGAUGUAUAUAACUCCUUGUGCAUCAUUACAGCAAAGAGUGAAAGCAGCAAGUUCUGCUGAGCAUAUGAAAGCAUUAGCAGUGGACUCUUCAAAGGCUGAUUUUCAUUUUCAGCAAUUAGACAAGCUCCGAGUGGUUUAUGAAGAAUAUGUCAAAACAGGGAAGGAGUUGAUUCCUCUUGCUGAGAAAAAUCUUAAUCACUUAAAUGAAGAACUGGAUCAAAAGAAUCAAGCCCUUGAUGAUGUAAUUGUCAACUUUGGUAUACUCUGGUUUUAAUUCUAUACUUGUGCUCACAGUUUGUCCUUUCUAUUUUAUGUAGCUGUUCUAUGAAAGCUUCCUAUUCAACUUAUGUUAAAUUGAUGGUUACCUAGGAUUAAUUAUUCGACUUGUGUCUGAAUGUACAUGUCCAACUUAUAGAAGUCAUCCCUUUUAUGUGUUGCUUGGCUCACAAAUAAUAGUUGUGUGCACAAUGGAAUUUCCUUGAUACAUUAGAGAAAUAGAAAUCUUAGCAUUCAUUUUCCACACGUGUUCUAAUUAUGAUGUGUACUACCUAAAAGAAGUGAUAUACAUGUGCAGAGUUGUUAGCAUAUGAUAGAACCUUGUGUGUACCAUUGUGUUGGCCAGACAUCAAUUGAUUUUAGAAGUAAUUUCAACCUCAAAUGAGCGUAUCUUUCUGGUUUGAAUAUGCCGCUGUGGGGUUGUUGAAACUUUUUUGUGGAGGGAAUAAUUACUACCAAGAAUCAUGAUUAUUUUAGUUUUGGAAACUAAAAUGCUUCAUAAGUUGAUGACAAUGAUUAAAUAAUUUUAUCCAAGAGCAUCUUUAUCUUUCUCCAUAACAAUGUUUUCUGCCUACAGUUGCUGGGUGUUUUAGCUCAAAUAAAAUCGGAAAAGGAUUCAGUUGAUGCCUUGAUACAACCUGUAGAAACUGCUGAUAGACAUCUCCAGGACAUUCAAGGUUUGCAGAGACUAGUAGGUGAACUGGAAAGCAAACUUGAUGUUCAAGCGCAAGGUGCCAGAUCUCUAGAAGAUAUUUCAUCAGAGCUGAAAAUGUUGGAAAGAACUAGGUUUUUAACCCACUUUAUCUCACUAAAAUGAUUACUAAUUUCCUGCUUUUUUUUAAUCAUCUGAUUAAGUUAGUUCAAUCAGGUCCUUUGAUCUUGUAUGUGUAGAGGUUCUUUCCUGAAAUGUUUUGUUAAUUACUUAAUUGUCUUUAUUUGUUGAUCAUCAGGAGUACCUUGAUUGAUGAUAUCGAGAAGUUAAGAGAUGAUCAGAUCACCAUGCAGCAGGAUUUGUCGUCGCUACAAUUACGGUGGGGUAGUGUAAGAGAAGAGAAAAUUCAAAUUCAAAAUAUACUAUCUAACAUCAAAAGAGUAGAAGAGGAGUUAGAUCGUCUGUCUGAAGAGAAAAGCCAAGUUGAGCUGGAUUUGAAGGUAAAUCAUUUUCAAAACCAUUCUGAUGCAUGUUGACCUGGCAAUGUAAAUAUAUAUUUGUCAAUAAAACAUUUGUGUAGACAUUACCUAGAGAUCUAUAUAACUUCCACUGAACAUAUAUGGUGAAAGACUACUGGGUCUGGAUUAGCAAGUAUGAAAUACAAGCCCCAAAAUAUAGUAUUAAGAAAAUAAAGGUCCACUUUUUAUCCUUGUGUAUUUAACACAAGUCUUAUUCUGAUAAACGUUUUUAACGACAUAUGGUUUUAAAAUUGAAGAUUGUGCAAAAUCGUUACAGCUCAACACCCACGGUGAACUGAUAGUUUUUAUUGAUGCUUUGUUCAAAUUCCCUUUUCAUUCAUUUGCAAGAGUAACGACUUUUGACCCAUUUUUCUACUGCGCUUGAAAGGAAUUUUGAGUAUGUUAAAGUGUUGUAGACUGUUCAUUUCUUAUAAGCUGAAAGUAAUACAUGUUGAAACUUACAAGGAGGCCAGAGCUGGAGGGUGGUCAUGUUCUAGAAACUUUCAUGAAAUUAAAACACUUCAGUCUUUUCGAGGUUCCCUCUAUAAGUCGUUCUUAAUGACAUGUAUCUUGGAUUUGUAACUGUCGUUAUUUCUUAGAUACCAUGUUACUGGAAAAUGCUUAAUUUUUGGGAUGUUGAAUGAACAAGAUUUCUUCCCUAAACUAGAGAGAUAUUCCUAUUUUUUCGUAAAUAUUGGAAUCCCAUAGUCAAUAGGUGCAAUAUAUCAUUCUAGAAAGUCUUUUCUGUAACAUCGUAUGACUAUAUAUUUUGAUGAUUUUGUUGAUUUGGCUAAUAACACACUUCAUCCUUAAUCCAUUAUUAAAGGUUUAAUGUUUCUCAAAAUUUCAGCAUUUGGCAGAGGCUCUCGGCCCUUUAUCAAAGGAGAAAAAGAAGCUGCUGGAUGAAUAUAACAAUUUGGAAGUCAAGCUUAAUCAUGAAUAUGAAUUGCAGGCUGACCAUUACAGAAAAAACCAGCAGGAAGUUGAUACGCUGCUUAAUAUGUAUUCUGGAAUCAAAGAGUAUGUUAUCUGGCAUUAGAUCUGAUAUUGGGGUUUUUAUUCUCAUCAAUGUGUUCCAUUACGAAUUGUUUUCUUCUAGGUAUGAUACCUACAAUAAAGGAGAGAAAUUGAAAGCACUACAAGAAAAGCAAGCUCUGUCAGAAUCCAAGCUUAGAAAUUGUAAAACCAGAAUGGAAGAACUUUUGAAGGAACUAGAUAAGAGUAGAGACUUGAGUCGGAAUCAGGCAGAAUUAAGGCGCAAUAUAGAAGAGAACCUGGAAUACAGGAAACUGAAGGCACAAGUGGAUGAGCUCACUCGGGAAAUUGAAUCACUUGAAGAUAAGGUGCUGAAGAUGGGUGGUGUCUCCAAGAUUGAAGCUCUGCUUGUAAAACUAUCACAAGAACGGGAGAGUCUCCUCACAGAGGUUUGAUUUUUAUUUUGUUUUUCUUCUGUAAAUGCUUUAUAUACUAUAAGUGACAUCAUGAGACCGUGAUCUAGAUACGCUGAAAUGAGAAAAAUUGAUCAAGAUUCAUGGAUUUGAAGUUUACGGCAUUGAGUAUAUUUUAGAUUUAGUUAUGACAUUAUGUGCUGAAAGGAGUGACACCGUUAUUGGUGGAUAACAUGCAUCAUCGGAUGUCGCCGAUCUGAUAAAAUUGGAAUGGUAUAGAGAAGCUUAGCAUGGUCCUGCGCGAGGAUGACACGCAUAAAUCGGAUAACAUGCUUCCUAUAUCAUAAUAUUCUCUCUUUUUCCAUUACAGAGUUAUCACUCUGUACAUUCUUUUUCAUUUAUCUAUUAAUUUCAUGCAUAUACUUUACUUCAAAUUUUCUUUUUCAUAUGGCAUGGAAAAGGGUUGUCUCAAUUCUUUGAACCCUUUUGUACUACAAUCCAUGUGGUCUGAUUUAUAAUACCAUUGGCAAUAGCUGAGAGGUGGAUUCUGGUUGCAGUUAAACAGGUGCCGUGGGACCUUGUCUGUAUACAGGAGCAACAUUGAUAAAAAUAAAGCAGAUCUUAAGCAGGCACAAUACAAAGACAUUGACAAGCGCUAUUUUGAUCAACUAAUUCAGCUAAAGGUAAUCUGUAACUUUAGGUUGCAUAACAGCUCCGAAAAUGAAGAAAGUUAUUAAAUGAUAGUCACGCUGCUUUUCUUUUUUCACUACAGACAACUGAGAUGGCAAACAAGGAUCUAGACAGAUAUUACAAAGCACUCGACAAGUGAGCUCUUCAUUUGUUCUUCUAUCUAAGUCUUUGUUUUGUGUUUGCGUCUGCACAAGUUUUGACACUUUUUCCAUUGCUGGUGUUAAUCAACUGAGCGUAUUCACCUCCUCAUUCUGUGGGCUGAGCUCACUUCUAAUGAUGUUUCAAGUGUUUUGGAAAUUCUUAUUGAUUAAGGCUUUUGAAGUUUGUAGUUGCGCCCAAUGAUGUCAGUCACAUUUGCUCUAGUUCGUGUUUGUUAAUUAGAUUACUCUCCUCGUUAAUUUGCUGUUACAUCAUAUUCAAUUGGGGCCACUUCUCGUUGGCUCAACUUUCUAUUUUUUGCCGCACCAUAAGUUUUUAGUGUGUAGACAAAAGAGACGAAUAGAACUAUUUGUAGCUGCACCAACUUCUCUCUCUGUGGUGAUGAUUAAGAUUUGUUAUCAUUGUGUCAUUUUUGAAAGUGCUGGUUUUUGCAGUAUUUUAUAUAUUUGUGUUAUACCUGUCUGACAGUAACAACCCUACAAUAUUCUUACAAUAUAUCUUGUUUAUAUUUUAGAGCACUGAUGCGCUUCCACUCAAUGAAAAUGGAGGAGAUAAAUAAGAUUAUUCGGGAACUGUGGCAGCAGACUUACAGGGGGCAGGAUAUUGAUUAUAUUUGCAUUCAUUCAGAUUCUGAUGGUGCUGGUACUCGUUCUUACAGCUAUAGGGUAAUUUAAUUUUGUUUCCUUGUCAUGACUCUUUUCCGAGAGUGGGCUCAUUCAAUAUUACAAUCUAAUAAUCAAUAUUUACUUUGUCCAGCUUUUCUACAAUCUUAUACUUUGGUUGAUCUCGGCUAAUUAUACACACUAUAUGGUCUUUUGCUUACCCGUAGCUAUUUCCUCCUGUUUUUUAAUUUCAUAUUUCUCAAAAAAAAUAAAAAAAAAAAAUUGCCGAAAGGCUUUGUCACUCCUUUUCUACUCUGAAAGGGUCACAAUCUUCUCAUUUUGUUGAAUCUUUUUUCGACUUGAGAUUUUUCUUGAUUAAUAUUAUCAAUUACUAUUGGUCAAAAUAUUGCAGGUGUUAAUGCAAACUGGUGAUGCAGAGCUAGAAAUGAGAGGCAGAUGCAGUGCUGGUCAAAAGGUAAAUCAUAUUCAAGUGUUCAAUAUGAUUUAUAUGUAACACAACACAACUUCUGAUUUCAAUCCUUACUUUUUGUUUCCUUUUCUUAAUUUUUUUUUCUUUCAAUUCCAUUCUCUUUCAAUUUCAGGUCCUUGCUUCACUUAUCAUACGAUUGGCAUUAGCCGAAACUUUUUGCCUGAAUUGUGGAAUACUAGCCCUUGACGAGCCAACGACAAAUCUGGACGGCCCAAAUUCCGAGUCUCUUGCUGCAGCUCUUCUUAGGUAUGGUUUAAUCGCAAUCGAUAGAAGAGAUAAUUAGUAUUUUUCAUGCAUUUACUUAAUAUUAAUUUUCUUUAAAUAAUCAGAAUAAUGGAGGAUAGAAAAGGCCAAGAGAAUUUUCAGCUUAUCGUAAUUACUCACGAUGAGAGAUUUGCUCAACUUAUUGGCCAACGACAACAUGCUGAAAAGUACUACCGCAUCACUAAAGACGACUAGUAAGCCUACUUCUUUUAAGAACCGUUUUCCUCUAAAUUUGGACUAAUAUUUUGCAUUACGGAACUUAAUUUUCAUGUUUUUAUUUUAUUUUCCAGUCAGCAUAGCAUUAUUGAAGCCCAGGAGAUAUUCGAUUGACCUUGUGGGAAUGAAGUUGUGUGUAGAUGGGCUUUUUUUUGCUGCUUAUUUUCUUCGACUUGCUGUAAUUAUUCGACAUUCGUAACAAGAUUCACAUGCUCAAAUCCGAUUAUCCAUAAUUAUUAAGCCUUGAAUUAUGAGUUGAUGCAUUUUGUAUAUUAUUGUUCUUUUGUUCUUGUGGUCGUAGCUGUUGUCACGUGCUCUGAAGCUAUUAAGUCGAAACUGGAACAAUCGUGGACUUCACUUUCACAUCUUCGUUGUCUGUGGCCGCAUUUUGUCUUAUGAGAAAAAAAAAAAAAAAAAAACCACGAAAAACAGGACAAUAGGAAUACAUGCAGCAUACCUUCCCACUAAACAACAUAAAAACGGUGACGAAUAACCGCAUAUGGUGCCCAUAUAACAUGAAAAAAUAAUUAACAAACAUUUCAGAAACUUAUUCAAGCAAUACUAACAGCUUAUUCCAACCCCCGUAUCUUGAAACAAUCAAAAUUAGUUUCGGUAGUCUUAAGGUUCCACAAAGAAGCAUAUUUUUGUAAGCCGAGACAUUCUUCUCUACGCGAUGCGAUCAUUAUUGACGACGAGGUUUUUCAGAAGAUAAUUUCAAGUUGUCCUUUGAUUGAAACUAUGUGUAUCGAAGAUUGUCAAAAGGUUAAAAACAUUUAAGUUGAACGGUCUUCACAAUCUCAAGUACUUGUGUUAUCUCAACGAGGAACUUUGUAGCUCAUCUCUUGAAACCAUCAAAAUUAGUUUUAUGUAAUCUUAGUUUCCGUAAAGAAGCAGAUUUUCGUAAUCCGGUUCAUGUAUCUCUACGAGAUGUGAGAUUGUCGUUCGACCACUUUUUUCGUCUCUUCCAAGUCUGGAACGCUUGCAGAAUUUCUUGGAACUUCAUACACUUAUUCUUGUAUUUGAUUCAAAUAAAAUGUUUUAGAUCCAUGAUAAUUAGUUAGAUAUUGAGUUAUUCUAUCAAAUUUUUAUCUAUUUUAAGAUUUUAAACUUUUUUCCCAGCAAGCGUUGCAUUUUCUAAUAAUCUACGUUGCGUACUUCUAAUUUAAAAGAGUUUUGGCAAGUUGAAAUAUACUAUAUUUUAUUUUAUUUUAUUAUAUUUAAACAAAUAUUACUUAUAUUUACUUGUUCAAUAAUAUUUCCAUGACUAUUUUCAAAAAAACUCCAGGUCUCAGACAUGAAUCCCGUAAACUUUUUAUUUAUCUUAACUUCGAUAAUAUUUUAGUCAUAUUUUCUCCAGAAUUCUUAACUCCUAACCAAAAAAUUAGUGUCCAUUCGUACUCACUGGAAUGAAUUAAUGUGUAGAUUAUACAAUAAAGGAACCCAUUUUUUCAAAUUUUUAAAACUCGCUGAGGGCACCAAGUUUCUCAGGAACAGCCCUGACUGUGAGACACUGUGAUUGAUAAAAAAAAAGGAUCAAAUAAGAUGAAUUGGUAAAAAAGAAACUAGUGAAAUCGACGAUGAAAACGGUAUUCACUCAAUUUUCAUCGUGAUUUUAUUUGGCUUAUCCUACUUUGCAACCUUGAAAUAUAAUUUUAUGCCACUUUGCACCAUUCAAAAAUAUUUAUAGCGCUUUGCACCCUUGAAACAUAAUGAACCAUGCGUAAUGCACCACCAAUGAAUUUCUAAAGCUAAUGAAGGUAAUCUAAUAAUUUUAGUGGCAUUUUUUAGGAUGCCAAAUGUCAAAUCAUUUUUUAUUCAUUAUCAUUUCGAAACUACAAAGUGCAACAAUAAAAAUAGAUCUCAUCAACAUAUUAACUUUUUUUUUCACAAAAAAUAUUUUACAAAAAACAAAAUCAACGCAAAAAUAUACUUCAGCUAUUUAGGUGUCAAUUUAUUUGAUAAUUAUAUUUUCUUCCAAAGAUUUCAAUUAAAUAUUUUCACUAAUUAAAAUAUAAAAAAUCCAUUAAUCGAAUAAUUUGGUGAGAUUUUUUUUUUUUCAGUAAUUCGAUGGGAUUUUGUGUUUCGCAUUAUUUAUGCUGGUAAUUAUGUUAAGAGGAAGAGAAUAAUAAUUUAAUUUGUAACUUUGCACCCUGGAAAUAAAAAGCCAAUAAAAAAUUAAAUUACCCUUAUUCAGUUUAAAUAUAUUAAUUCAUGGUGCAUUAUGAAUGAUUUAUUGUGUUUUGAGUAGGGGUGUGAACGAGCCGAACUCAAGCCGAGCUCGGCUAUUUUAGCCAGCUCGAGCUCGAGCUAAUCGAGCCAAUUUUGACGAGUUCGAGCUCGAGCUCGAGCUCGAGCUCGGGCUCGAGCUCGAGCUCGAGCUCGGGCUCAUUUAAUUUUUUUUAUUUAAUUUUUUAUUAAAAUCAUUUAACUUUUUAGUAAAAAAUAUUUAUAGGAAAAUAAAAUAAAAAUUAUAAAAUAAACAAUUAACUCUAGUUAUAUAAUUCUUUUUUUAUUUUUAUAUUAUUAUUAUAAUAUUUUAUAUUAUUAUGAAUUAUCUAAGUAAUGUAGAUUUGUUUCUAUUUAAAUACUAUAAAUAUUUAUUAUUAUAGACUAUUUACUAUUUAGUUAAUAAUAUAUAUAUAUAUAUAUAUAUAUAUAUAUAUAUAUAUAUAUAUAUAUAUAUAUAUAUAUAUAUAUAUAUAUAUAUAUAUAUAUAUAUAUAUAUAUAUAUAUAAAGAAAAAUUAAUAAAAAAGGCAGCUCACGAGCUGGCUCGUGAGCUGUCGAACAACAAAAUUUGGGCUCAAGCUCAAAAAGUCCGAGCUCGAGUUCGAGCCUUUGUCGAGCCGGCUCGGCUCGUUUACCACCCUUAGUUUUAAGUGUGCAAAGUGCUAUUAAAUCUUUUUAAAAGUGCAAAGUGCCAAAAUAUCACAUUUCAAGUGUGUAAAGUGGGAUUAAACCGAUUUUAGUUUGUCAGAUUAUAUUUUAUUACUAUGUUGUAUUUUUUAUGUACAUACAUAUAUAUUUGAAUGAAAAACGAAUAAAAAAAAAUUGAGAAGUAGAAAUAAAGAUAAACAAAACAAAAAACAAAAGGAAAUAAAACCAUUGGAGUAUCUCUGUAUUUAAGAUAAUAGCACAGACCUUCCGGUGUUGUUUUUAAUUGUCGAAAAACCCCUUGAUUAAAAAAAAAUUAGUAAGAAGCUCCCCAUGUUGUGUUUUUUAUAGCACACCGGUUCUUAUUUCGAAUUUAUUGUUGACUUGUGUGAAAUGACCAAAUUACCCUUAUAACAUAAAUAUAAGAAAAAAAACAAAACGAAAACCAAAAAGAAUACCAAAGGGUAUUUUUGACUUUUGAAGUCUGAAAAUACAAUUCUAUUCUCACAAUCCGCACAUGCAUCACACGAAAAACUAUUAGGGUUUUUUUUUUGCUUUGACUAUUUUUCACAUGGAUGUUCUUGCUAAAUUUUUUUACACGAUUUUUUUGCAAAUAGAGAUUAUAGUUUUUGUAAAAAAAAAAAAAAAAAAAAAAAAAAAAGGAAAACCCUAUAUUUAAUAACCAUCUGAUUUUAAGUACAAGGUGGGAGUUGUUUCUACGUCUAAACUCUAAUCAAUAAUAAGAAGGGUGCAAAUUUAGAUCGGAUCGCCUGUUUUAAUAGGAAAAUCGGAUCCAUAUAAUGAUUGACACGUGAAUAGUUUAAAUAAAAAUAUAAUUAAGAUUCUAAUAAUUGAAAAAAAAAAGAAAAAAAAAAGAAAAAGAAAAAAAAAAAGAAAAAAGAAAACCCAGCCUAACCCGUAACUCGUGUAACCCUAAUUGUAAUAGCGUAACUCCUGUAACCCUAAUUGUAAUAGCGUGAUUUAUUAAGAGUUAUGAUUAAGAGUGCCACAUGUCAAAAAAUUAGUGGAAUUCGAUUUAUAUUAAAUAUCGGCUGAUUCACUCAAAAUUUAAUCCUUAUACAAGGGAAUUUAGGAUGCCUCAAUUUUACAUUCUCAAAAAAAAAAAAAAAAAAAAAAGAGCUUAGGGUUUCUUCGAGCUUAAAUAUUUGUUUCAACAGUUUCUGCCAUGGGUAAGGCAGAAAGUAGAGAUAGUUCAAAUUCAAUGGAUAUAUUAUCCGAAUUGCCUAAAGAAAUCUUGCACAAAAUACUUUAUUUCAUGUCUCAGAAAGAAGCUGUCAGAACAUCUGUAUUGUCGAAAUCAUGGCGUAAUAUCUGGUGCACUCGUCCCAAUCUCGAUUUUUCAGACGCCACAUUCAAAGGUAACAAACAAGAUUUUCUAUCCCUUGUGACCAGGUGUUUACAGCGGUACUAUGAUCAAAGGUUGUGCGUAGAUGAGUUUCACCUUCGUCUGACGUUGGUCGAUUAUCUGGAUUACGAAUCAUUGGUUUCGCUUCUCGAAAAAUGGAUCCCCUUACUCACAAAUAUGGGUCUUAAGAAGUUUUGUCUUUCCCUUAAUUCGGAACUUUAUUCGACUUAUCUUAGACUGCCCUCCGUAGUCUUUGGAGCCGAAUCGCUCCAAGAUUUGCAUUUGGAAAAUUUCGUGUUGGACCAAAAGACUAUUGAAAGGAUAGUACUUCUCAAGAAUCUACGAUCACUUCGUCUCAGACGAGAUUGGAUCGAGGACGAGAUUUUUCAGAAGAUAAUCGGUAGCUGCCCUCUGAUAGAAACUUUGGAUAUCGAAAGAUGUGCUAGGUUAAGAACAAUAACGGUGAGUGAUCUUCACCAUCUCAAGUAUUUUUCUUCUUCGGAUAUGUAUGAUUCCAUCGGCGAACUUUGUCCAAUCGAAAUCCAUCCCCCAUCUCUUGAAACCAUCAGAAUUCGUUUCGGCAAUCUUAGGCUCCACAAAGGAGCGGAUUUUCGGAAUCUAAAUGAAUUAUAUUUGCUCGGCGCGAAUCUGUCGUGGGACCACAUGUCUUCGUGUAAAUUCCCAAGUCUCAAACGCUUGCGCAUCGACACCUGUGAUGAACUCAAAGAAACCGAGCUAUUUAUCGACGCACCAAACAUACUCGAUUUCGAAUACGACGGAGACUUUGUACCAUCCAUCUCUUUCGCGACCACGUUGAAUAAGUGGUGUUCAGAUAUAAACGUAGCAUACAUGCGUCUGAACGGUGCUCCCUCUUUGUGGUUCCUCAAGCUAAACGAACAGCUCACGUCGUUAAUCCAAUCUGAAAUUUCUCUGACUAUCGAUCUGUUUCACAUGAACGAUAUCGAGGAAGUUAUUAGAGAAAACAUUAAUCUGGUACGAUACAUUAGUGGCGGCGGUGGUGGUAAUAAACACGCCGCUGUCGCGGUGGAGACACUGAGUUUGCAUUGCAAUAGCUUGAUGAACUUGUCGCUUCUUCAUUUAUCUCAUAUGUCAUCUAUUUUAAGCAGUGUGUUUUCUGUCUGUCGUCCGAGAAACAUCAAUGUCGAUUUUUGCAUCGGCAGCAAAGAGGACAGGGACCGGAUCGAGUGUCUGUGGAAGAUUCUAAGGGAGAGAGAAAGUGGCCGAGACGAAGAUGAUCGAUUCAUACAGUUGUGGUCGCAAGAUUUGGAGGAAGUGAGCUUUGAAAUUAAGAGGUGGUAUCCAGUAGAAGAAUGGCGUCUAAUACCUCUGUCGGAUUUCUCAAACUAUCGAGGAAAGGGAUACGAUCGUAUUCGCUUUGCAUUACAAUGGAGAGGAUUACCGUAAGUGAUCGAGAGAUCCUUCGAAGAAUUAUAGAUAUAUAUCGCAUUUUACGGGAUUUCUCUUUUUUUUCUUUCUUUUUGUACUUCAAUCCAGAAGUUUGGAGUGAUACAUAGUUCAUGGAUUGAUGACAAUAGAUCAAGAAACAUUCAUUUUUCAAUUUUAUUUUUUUCUGAAUAAAUAAUCAAUAAAAGAAACAGUUAUCGUAUAUCCACAAGGUAAUGUCUAAUGCCUUUGGUUACAUGCUGGUAUCGAACAGGGUAAGAUAACCAGUGGCAGCGCCCCGAAUUUUUUUUUUCGCUGUAUGAGGGCAGCGCCCCGAAAAAAAAUUAAGAUUUUUUUGUGACAAAAUCAGAAAAUAGUAACAUAGAAAGAAGAAAAGAAAAAACAAUUAGAGCUUUUGAGCUUUUUUGCAUUAAUUUGAAUUUUGGUAAUAAAUAGGGCUUUUUUUGCAUUAAUUUGAAUUUUAGGUAGCCUAAUUAAUAAAAACUAGGGGGCUUAAUAGAUAUAUAGAUAUAAUAUCGGGAAAAAUUGCAAAUUAAGGGUGGGCUUGAGUUGAGUCCAUCCUCCCAAAGCGGUGGACUCGCCCCUGAAGCUAACCCGUAAUCAUUUCUAACCACCGAAGCUAACCCGUAAUUAUUUCUAAUAUAAUUCGACCUAACCACCGAUAAAAAAACUGGCAUGCGUGUAUUUUUUAUUUUUGUUGUCUUUGUUCUUUUUAUUCAAAGGCAAUUGAAACAUUUAGUGGUUCAUGAUAGAUGUAAUUCCGAUAGCAAGAAGGGUUGUUUCGUAAUUUCACCUAACCUCAUGAUUAUGUUCGUAAUUAAUAAGAAAAUCUAUCAUUCCCAUUUUCUGGGGAGUAUGGCGGUGACUACGAAGCUCGACAAAUGCUUUCUUGAAGAACAUGGAGCUCUGUUUUCGAAAUCUGAAGCCGAAGAACAUGAGACUUUUUAUUAUGAUAUCGUAUUUUGCAUUUGCCCAAUUCGCGGCGAUGGAUGUAGUUACGGAAGGAGUGGGAGAAAUAGAAAGCAAGAAAGAAAAAAAUGAAAGAAAUUAUGUCUUUCGCUUAAUACAAAUUGACAAGUUUUGGUUGGAAGAUAUGUAAUUUUCGCAUACAUUUGUUAAAUGCUGAGAUAAAAUUGUGCUUAAGCACUUAGCUAAAUUAAAUGGAUUCAUUAAUCCUAUUUAACAAAUUACACAUGCACUAGACGAUGGCGUGUCCAGAAAUUUGUUACAUCGUCGGCUUAACAUUUUGAAGGUUGAAGGGCAGUGUUCCAAGGGGAAAACAAAAUAGUGAAGAAUUAAAAUGUAUUACAGUGUGAGCUUAAUUUUUUGGGGUUGAAGCAGUGCCCAGAAAAAAAAAUUAGGAGUUUUUUUUGUAUAUAAAAGUAAUUAACGUUAGGUCAACUUAAAAAACCUUAUGGCAUAUUCAUAAUUAUUUAAAUUAUUCUUUUAUUUUUUUAUCUCAUAUGUUUCAUCUUCAAAAUCAGGUUUGCAAGUUCCCAAGCGAAAUCGUAAUCCACUUGGAUAUUUUUGUUAUCUCUAUUUUUUAAGGGUUUUUACGUAUAAGAUUGUUUAUACUAUGCUACACAGAAUGAAAUACAUUGGGUAAAUCUUUAUCAUUCAUAAGCACACAAACACACACAUAUCCACAUUGGUGUGUGUAGAUCAAUGAUAAAAACUCACCGCGUGUAACCUUCACUGUGCGUAGCAUCGAAAUAACCGCAUAGAUCUUUGAUCAACCAUCUUUAUUAUUCCAGGUUUAGGGGCUAUAUCUCUUUCGUCAAUAAGCACCGUUCUUUAAUAUAUAUUAUAAAUAAAUGCAAAGUUAAAGCAUAUAACAAAAUUACCCCCAAUCAUUUAAGCUCAAUUCCUAAUUGUAACCCCAAUUUAACCUCAUAUUCAUCAAUUUUCACCACAAAAAUCCAAUUUUUACUUUUUCAUUAUUUUUAACAAAAAAUUGCCCCCGGUUUCCGCCUUUGAAUUUUUUUUUUUUGUCAGCCUUUUCCACCGCCGAUCUCCAGCAUUGAAUUUUUUUUUCUUAAAAUUUUUAUCCGUUUUCUUUUAACAUUGGCCGUAAUUGUACUGUCAUUGACAAUAAUUGUAUUGUCGCUAACUGUACAAUUACUGUAAACACAAUAAUAUUAAUGUCAACCACAUCAAUAUUAUUAUUUAUUUGCUUUUUCAUUUUGUUUGAUUUGAUAAGGAUCAACGUAAUAAUAUUAUUAUCCUUACGGUAACAUUAUUGUAAUCACAAUAAUAUUAUUCUUAACCACAUCAAUAUUUAUUUUUUUCGGCAUUUUUAUUUUGUUUGAUUUGUUGACCGAUUAACGUAAUAAUAUUACUUUAAACAUAAUAAUAUUACUGUGGUUGACGGUAAUAUUAUUGUCGUUACUAGAAUGUUACAGUGGUUGACAGUUUUAUUACGGUCAGCCACAUCAAUAUUAAUUCUUUUGAAUUUUUAUUAUGUUUGCCUUUAUUGAAAGGUGAAAAUAUCAAUAUUACUCUAAUACACAAUAUAUAGUGAUUUCUGUUGUGUUAAUAUUACUGUGCUAAACGGGCCAAAAAAUAUGAUUGUCAACACAAGAAUAUUACUGUUUAAACGGGCCAAAAAAUGUUGAAGGAAAAAAAAAAACAGUCAACGUCGCGGGAGACCAGGGUUAACCACCGGUCAACGACGGCAGAAAAAAGGACAAACUGGAAAGAGAAAAAAAAAUAACAAAGUCAACGCCAGAGACAGUCGGAACAAAAAAACAAAAAAAAAAUCAACAGCAUUGACGGGCGAAAUUGUAGUCAAAAUUGAAUAAUUGGUGCAAUUUGAUGUCAAAUUGAGGUUAAAUCGAAUUAAAUGAUGAAAUUGGAGCGUAUUAAAAAUGUAAAGGAGUAUUUUAGUCUUUUACACUCCUUUGGACAUUGUUUUGAUUUUUUUAUAAAAGAGUUUUUUGUCCGAACCCCUUUAUUUGUAAUAGACCAUUUUUUUUAAUAAUAUAUUUCUUAUUGCAAUUAAUCAUAUUAUCAUGUAUUUAAAUAAUUCAUUUUUUUUUUAUUUUAAAAUCUUAUUUCGUGCAUCGCACAGAGGAAAAUUCUAUUAAAUUUUAGGGUAGAAAUUAUAGCGACUCCCUGAUGUAUGGCCAAAUUACAAAAAAAUCCCUCUAGUUUAGGUAAUUAUAACCACUCCUUAACUAUAAAUCUUCUGACACGUUCACCCUUAUUGUAUCAAAUUGAACAUAAUCUUCUACAUUACGUGGAAUGUUCUCUAGUUUGCUCUCGUUUUGUGCAAAAACUCAGUUUCUGAUGCACUUCAAUCUGAUAAGUACAAGCCAAGAGACAUGUCUUAUGAUCAUCUUGUUUCAAUAUGUGGAGUUCGAAUAGGGUAAAACGGAUAAAAAUUUGAGAAAAUUCCACAUAAUCUAGAAGUGGAAAUUCAAAUGAAGUCAAUGCAUAAACAAAUGCAAAUAAAAGCCGAAAAAGUGAAUCGAUUGGAAAAGCAAUUGCAGAAAACCCGAGAAACAAUGGAAGAACAAAUGCAGAUUAAAGACGAAAAAGUGUAUCGAUUGCAAGAGCAAUUGCAGGAAACCCGAGAUAUUGUGAACACCUUGCUCGAGCGAUUUAGACAACAAGAAUUACAAUCCUCAACGUCGAGUCGUCCUAAUGAUAGUGGAGUAUAAAAAACGGAUGAAAUUAGUGUGUCUUUUGAACUAAAGUUUGUGACAACAUACUACAUUUAUGCUUUCAAGUUUUUAUGUACUUUUUGAAUUGAUGCUUGUCUGCUACCUUGAUAUUUAAUCCGUAAUCGUGGGUUUAAUAUUUUUUAUUUAAUAGUGUUUAGAUUUUUUUUGUUGUAAAACAGCUGAUAGUAGCGGCUUUAAUUUUUUAAUUGAAAAUAAUUAAACAAAUAAAAGUAAUAUUGAAAAACAAUCGCACUAAUGAAAAAUCGUCGCAAAGUAAAUAUAAAACUAAAACAUUUGCGACGAAUCAUAUCUGAGAAAUCAUUGCCAAAAUGAUUCUCGUCAUGCAACGAAAAUACUAUUUAGUAGCCAAAAUAUUCAGAGAACGUGCGACGGAAAAGUUUCGAAUGUCGCUAAGUUUCGCGACGAAAUAUAUUUUCGUAGCGAUUGUUUGCGAAUUUAUUUACAUUCGUCGCAUAGAGCUUGCGACGAAAUAGUUGCAUCCGUCGCGAUUAAUAAAAAAACAUUUCUUUUUUUAGAAUUAUGGAGUUGGCGACGAUUUAUGUGAUUCGUCGCCAAAUUUGGCAUCGCAUGUUUUUUCGUUACUAGCUUUGUGACGGGGCAUUUGGCGACAAUUUUAGCUUAAUUUUGCGACGAAAAUUAUGAGUCGCAAGACAUACAAAAGCGCCGCGAGAAGAUAGUUUUCGUCGCCAGUGAUCCCACUAAAUUUGACACCGCGAGGGUGGACGUGGGGAGAAUUACACUUUUGGUCCCUCAUGUUUGGCCCAAUUCCACUUUUGGUCCCCGUUGUUCCAAAGUGAACAAAGUUUACCUCCAAGGUUCAAUUUUAAACACUUUUUGUCCUCGCCGUUACAUGUCCGUUUACAAGUAACGGAAAACACUAUUUUGGGCCCAAAUUUGAAAUUAAAUUUUUUUGGGCCGGAAAAUAGUUUGAAAUUCGAAAUAUUUACAAUUAUUUUUUUAAUAAUAUUAAGUAUAAAUGAAAUUUUUUUAGUUAAUUUCUUUGUUUAUUAUUAAAAUUUUAAUUAUAAGUAGUAUAAUUAAAAACAAUAUUAAGCAUAAUUAAAUAUAACUUGUUUAGUAUAUUUCUUUUUUAUUAUUGAAAAUUUAAUUAUUAGUGUAAUUAUAAUAAAUUAAGUAUAAUGAAAAAUAAUUUGUUUAGUUAAUUUCUUAGUUUAUUAUUAAUAAAUUAAUUAUAAGUAGUAUAAUUAAAAAUAAUUACUUUAAUUAAACUUUUUUUAUUAUUAAAAAAUUGAUUAUAAGUAGUAUAAUUAUAAUAAUAUUAAGUAUACUAAGAAAAUUGUUUAGUUAAUUUUUUUAAUUAUUAUUAAAUAUUUAAUUAUAAGUAGUAUAUUUUAAAUCUCUAAUUAUUUUUCAGCCCCAAAAAAAUUUAAAAUUUCAAUUUUGGCCCCAAAGUAGUGUUUUCCGUUACUUGCUAACGAGCAUGUAACGGCGGGGACCAAACGUGUUUAAAAUUGAACCUUAAGGUGAACUUUGUUCACUUUGGAACAACACGGACCAAAAGUGCAAUCGGGCCAAACGUGAGAGACCAAAAAUGUAAUUCUCCUAGUGGACGUGUAAGAAGAUUCAUAAUUUGAGGGACUGGUUGUAAUUACCCAAACAUAAAAAGUUUUUUCGUAACUUGACAUUACCUCAUGGGUUGGCCAUAAUUCCCUCUAAAUUUUAAUUGAGGUGGGCUUCAGCCCAUCCUAGUCAUACCCUCUCAUCGCCAUUGGCAAUAGUAGAUGGGGGAGUUAGAUGUUACACCUAGUUAUUUAUACCGAAUAGAUUGAACCAUAAAUUUAAUUAAAUAAUUACUCAUUAAACACACAUGAUACAUAGGUGGUGUUUGCAAAUGCUUUUUGAAAGUGAUUAUGCGGUUUUUUUUCCUCAUAAUCUGUUUUUAGGUGUUUGCAAGAUCAACUUUUGUUUUGGCUUCUCUUAAAAUAAUCUGCUUUAAGCUAUUUUUUUAAAAGUACCCAUAACCCUGCUUUUUCAAUUUUAGUUUAUUUUCCAAAAUAUUUGCAAACACCCCCAACUUUUAGAAAUAAGCACUUAAAACUAACUUAAAUCACAAUUACUAACUUCUGCUUUUAAAUAAUCAUUUGCAAACACCACCAUAGAUGUGUAUGUGAUUAUGUGUAGAUCUACAGCAGUUCAAAUCCAUCAAAUAUAAAUAAUCAGGUGUAGCAUCUAAUUUCUCCUACUAGGUGUAGAGUCUACAAGAAUGCAUUAAGUAAUAUAUAGAAGUAUAGAACAUGAUAGCACUGAAAUUAUUAUCUGAUAACAAGAUGAGCUAUGAUAUUUUGUCAAAUUUUAUAUUUUAAUACUACCUUGUAUUAUAUAUAUAUAUAUAUAUAUAUAUAUAUAUAUAUGUGUGUGUUUGAAUGAAAAAAUAAUUAAAAAGGAUUGAGUAGUAGAAAUAAGGGUAAAUUACAAAGACCCCCUAAGGUAUGGUCAAAUUAAAAAAACACCCCUCUUGUUUGGAUAAUUACAACCAACCCCUCAACUCCUCAAAUUUAGUGGAAUCUUCGACAUUAUAUGGAAAAUUAUCACUUUUGUACCCGUUUUAUCCCAUUCAAACUCUACAUUAUGAAGCAAGAUGAUCAUAAUAUGUGAUUUUUAGCUUGUAUAUAUCAGUUUGUGGUGCAUCGGAAACUGUAUUUUUACACAAAACGAGUACAAACUAGAGCACAUUUCACGGAAUCUAGAUGAUUCUGUUGAAUUUGGCACCAUAAGGGUGGAGGUGUAAGAAAAAAUCAUAGUUGAGGGGGGUAGAUGUAAUUAUCCAAACAAGAGGGGGGUUUUUGUAAUUUGACCAUACCUCAGGGGGGUGUUUGUAAUUUACCCUAGAAAUAAAGAUAAACAAAAAAAAAACGAAAGGGAAUAAAACUAUUGAAGUAUCUGUAUUUAAAAACCAUCUGAUUUUAAUUAGGAGUUAUUUCUACGUCUAACUCUAAGCAAUAAAUAAUAAGAAUCCUAAAACAAGGAAAUUUAGGGUGCCUCAAUUUUAAAUUCUCUACAAAAAAAAAAAGAGCUUAGGGUUUCUUCGAGCUUAAAUUUUUCUCAACAGUUUCUGCUAUGGGUAACGCAGAAAGUAGAGACGAUUCAAACUCCAUGGACAGGAUAUCCGAAUUGCCUAAAGACAUAUUGCACAGAAUACUUUAUUUCCUGUCUCAAAAAGAUGCUGUCCGAACAUCUGUAUUGUCGAAAUCAUGGCGUAAUAUUUGGUGCACUCGUCCCAAUCUUGAUUUUUCGGACGCCACAUUCAAAGGUAACAACAAACAAGAUUUUCUAUCCCUCGUGACCAGGAAUUUACAGCGGUACUGUGAUCAAAGGAUGUGCGUAGAGGAAUUUCACCUUCGUAUAUCGUUACGCGAUCAUUUGGAUCACGAAUCAUCGGUUAUGCUUCUCGAAAGAUGGAUCCCGUUACUCAUAAAUAUGGGUCUGAAGAAGUUUUGUCUUUCCCUUCAUUCGGAACUUUAUUCGACGCGUCUUAGACUGCCCUCCGUAGUCUUUGUAGCCGAAUCGCUCCAAGAUUUGCAUUUGGAAAAUUUCGUGUUGGACCGAAAGACUAUUGAAAGGAUAGUACUUCUGAAGAAUCUACGAUCACUUUGUCUCAGAGAAGAUUGGAUCGAGGACGAGAUUUUUCAGAAGAUAAUUGAUAGCUGCCCUUUGAUCGAAACUUUGGAUGUCGAAGGAUGUUUGAGGUUAAGAACAAUUACGUUGAAUAAUCUUCACCAUCUCAAGUGUAUUUCCUUUUCAGAGAUGUAUGAUUUCACCGGGGAACUUUGCCGAAUCAAAAUCCAUCCCCCAUCUCUUGAAACCAUCAAAAUUAGUUUUGGCAAUCUUAUGUUCCACAAAGGAGCGGAUUUUCGUAAUCUAAAUGAAUUAUAUAUUUUCGAUGCAAAACUGUCAUGGGACCACUUGUCUUCGUGUAAAUUCCCAUGUCUCAAACACUUGUGCAUCGACAGCUGUGAUGGACUCAAAGAAACCCAACUAUUUAUCGACGCACCAAACAUACUCGAUUUCAAAUACGAAGGAGACUUUGUACCAUCCAUCUCUUUCGCAACCACAUUGAAUAAGUGGGAUUCAGAAAUAAACCUAACACAUCUGCAUCCGAACGAUGCUCCCUCUCCGUGGUUCCUCAAGCUAAAUGAACUGCUCAAGUCGUUAAUCCAAUCUGAAAUUGCUCUUUCUAUCAACCGGUUUCACAUGAAUGAUAUUCACGAAGUAAUUCGAGAAAAUAUUAGUAGUGGUGAUAAUAAACCUGAGGUAGAGACACUGAGCUUGCGUUGUGAUAGCUUGAUGAAAUCGUCGCCUUGUCAUUUAUCUCAUAUGCCAUCUCUUUUAAACAAUGUGUUUUCUAUUUGUCGUCCAAGAAACAUCAAUGACUAUUUUCGGAUUAGCGACAACGAGGGCAUGGAAAGGAUCGAGUGUCUGUGGAAGAUUCUAGUGGAGGGAGAAAGUGGCCGAGACGAAGAUGAUCAAUUCAGACAGUUGUGGUCGCAAGAUUUGGAGGAAGUGAGCUUUGAAAUUAAGGAGUGGUAUCUCAAAGAAGAAUGGCGUCCAAUAACUCUGUCGGAUUUGUCGAACUAUCAAGAAAAGGAAUACGGCCGUGUUCGCUUUGCAUUAAAAUGGAGAGGAUUACAGUAAGUGAGAGAUCCUUCGAAGAAACCAAGAAUUAGCUUGUGAGUCGAUUUAGAAUUAUAGAUAAAUCAUUUUUACAUUGCAUAGUCUUUUUUUCUUUUUCUUUAGCAAAUUAUCUAUUUUAUUUAGAAAUAACAUAGGGAUCAAACAAUUAGUUUUAAUAUUACGAUAUUUUGCUCGUUUUAAUACUUUCAAGCAUAGUUUGAUACUUGAUAAAUUUCUUCAAAAAAAAAUUGAAUAUCAAGUUUGAGGUGUAAAUGUAGUUUUAAAAUAAAAUAAAACUAGCAAACCGAUUAACACAGAACAAUAGAAUCACUUUUGUAUAUCGAAAAAGGAUCUUUAGCUGCAAACUUCCAUCAACAGCUACAAAUUUCAACAAAAACAUAACCGUAACCCCACAAAACCGGUAGGAAACCGAAGCAGUGGGGGAAGAAAUAGAAAGUGUUGGGGUUUUUAAUAAAAAUAAUAUAUUUUAUUAUAAAAAUAUAAUAAUGACUUUGACCACUUUUACGAGGGUCAUUAGACCGGAAACCUUCAAAGUCAUUAUUCUCCCACAUAAAACACCAUAAUUAUAUAUUAAAUUGAGGUUUUAUGGGGGUCAUAUUAUAUACUAUAUAAAUGGGGCAUUGUGGCUUGUAAAAAGAAGGGAGUGUGAAGAGAAAAAGAAACACCUUUUAUCUAUACUACUUUGAGCUCUUGUUGUGUGUCGGGUGUAAGCUUCUACUUCACUCGAACGUGCAAUUUCGGUGAAGUUACAGCGGAGAGAUAGGCUGGGCUGUUGUAUCCCAUAGGCGACACGAUCGGAACCUUUUUGCACCUCAUUAGAGAAGGGGUCGUGAAAUUCGUCUUAAGAGAGCGACCUAGUCCGCGCCUCACCUUGCCUAUCUCCAUAUUAUCGUGGUUUUUAUUGCAGCAACUUGUUAUAUAUAAAAUUGGAGAACAAAUGGAGUACAAGCCUCAAUCCACAAGUUUCGUGAUCAAUCGUCAAAUAACAGCCGUGGUUCCAACAAUUUAAGACGAAAUUUUUGAUUCCAUAAAGAUGAGCUUUGACGAUGAUCCAAAAUAGGCUCUUAAUGAUAAAAAGGGAGAUGAUAAAUUAUAUUUUAUUGUUAUUUUGAUUUGACGAAAAAUUAACGAUCUUAUUUCUUGGUAUAGGGGAAUUUUCGUACAAUUCACGAGUGCAGACUUUGAGUCAAAUUUCGGACCUGCUAAUAUCCGAAUUUGAGAAUGUGUAAAACACGAAAGCUGUAGGCAUUUUUGUUGGCUGUCCGAAACAUCUUGAAUCGCUGAAAUCGGACAUCGAACGAGAGAGAUAUGCUCCAAACACUGAGCACUGCUGCAGCUGCAAAAUUGUGCGCGUUUUUAAGGUAUCAAAAGAAUUCGUAAUGGAAAAUUAUUGAAUCUGGUAUGUUCUUCGUUUCCACAUUACUUUACAUAAUUUUGCACUAGUACUUAUAAUAUUGCAUAUGGUAAUGAUUUGAGAUGUGGAAAUUGAAAUAAUAUAGUAAUCUAUUUUUGUUCAUAAAAACUGAUACACACGUAUUAUGAUUAUAUAAAUUAUUGAUAUUACAUAUAAUCUCUAUGGAUCAUCAUACUUUGAUUAAUUAUCAUCGCAAUAUGAUAAUUAGAAUUUGUAGCAACAGCACUAUUGUUUUAGAGUUUAAUUAGAAUUCAUGUCAGAGGUUAUAAAUGUUUAUGCUGCUUAAUUGCGUAAUUAAUAUUUAUUAACCACUUAUUCAUAUGUGAGAGUUAUCAUUGUUGCUCGUAUGUGCUAAGCGGCUAGCAUUCUUAGUCAACGAACUAAUCUAUUUGUCCAAGUCCAUUGAUGAGAAAGCUGGAGCUUUUUUAAUUUAAUUUUUUGAAUAAUGAGAAUAUUGUUUUCUCUAAUAUUCUCGGUCUAAAGAGAUCAUAUGCCAAUUAACUAUUUCACAAGUCGACAUCAGUUAUAAAAUUGAUUUUUUACUAUUUUAAAUGUCUUUUUAUUGGUUCAUGAGUUUUUUUUUAUAAACAAUAUUUUGAUUUAAAAAACGUAGGACUUAAUUGCAAUUUUUAUAAUUUCACAAUUGAGUAAAUUUUAUGCACAAUAUUAUAUUAAUUGCAAAAAUAACCCACUUACAAGAAUCACCCAUAUUAUUAAUGAAAUAAUUUCACAUUUUUUGUUUCAAAUUUUAUCUCUCCUACAUGUCAAAAUAGUGUAUUUUUAUUGGUUAAUGAGUUUCUUUUUUUAUAAACAAUAAAUAUAUCUAUCUAAUAUAUAAAUUGAAACCCUCAUAGCUCAAGAAAUCGACAUGUGACAUAUCUAUGUGACAUCCACCUCAUAUCUCAUGUGGCAUUUUUUGUUCCAUUAUAAUCACAAUAUUAAUAUACACACAUUAAUUAAUUAUUUAAUGCAAUUACCGAUAAUAGAUGCAUAUUAAUUAAAACUUACCAACUUAAUAUAAGAUAUUAUUAUUUUGUGUAUUAAUUUGAUUUAUAUCUUUUCCAUAUUUCAUAAUAUCUUAUACAAGAGUGUCAAUUAAUAUCAAUUACAAUAUAUAUAAUUUCUAUAAUUAUAGAAACGAUGGUUAAUUUAUUUCUAGAUAUCAUUAGNNNNNNNNNNNNNNNNNNNNNNNNNNNNNNNNNNNNNNNNNNNNNNNNNNNNNNNNNNNNNNNNNNNNNNNNNNNNNNNNNNNNNNNNNNNNNNNNNNNNNNNNNNNNNNNNNNNNNNNNNNNNNNNNNNNNNNNNNNNNNNNNNNNNNNNNNNNNNNNNNNNNNNNNNNNNNNNNNNNNNNNNNNNNNNNNNNNNNNNNNNNNNNNNNNNNNNNNNNNNNNNNNNNNNNNNNNNNNNNNNNNNNNNNNNNNNNNNNNNNNNNNNNNNNNNNNNNNNNNNNNNNNNNNNNNNNNNNNNNNNNNNNNNNNNNNNNNNNNNNNNNNNNNNNNNNNNNNNNNNNNNNNNNNNNNNNNNNNNNNNNNNNNNNNNNNNNNNNNNNNNNNNNNNNNNNNNNNNNNNNNNNNNNNNNNNNNNNNNNNNNNNNNNNNNNNNNNNNNNNNNNNNNNNNNNNNNNNNNNNNNNNNNNNNNNNNNNNNNNNNNNNNNNNNNNNNNNNNNNNNNNNNNNNNNNNNNNNNNNNNNNNNNNNNNNNNNNNNNNNNNNNNNNNNNNNNNNNNNNNNNNNNNNNNNNNNNNNNNNNNNNNNNNNNNNNNNNNNNNNNNNNNNNNNNNNNNNNNNNNNNNNNNNNNNNNNNNNNNNNNNNNNNNNNNNNNNNNNNNNNNNNNNNNNNNNNNNNNNNNNNNNNNNNNNNNNNNNNNNNNNNNNNNNNNNNNNNNNNNNNNNNNNNNNNNNNNNNNNNNNNNNNNNNNNNNNNNNNNNNNNNNNNNNNNNNNNNNNNNNNNNNNNNNNNNNNNNNNNNNNNNNNNNNNNNNNNNNNNNNNNNNNNNNNNNNNNNNNNNNNNNNNNNNNNNNNNNNNNNNNNNNNNNNNNNNNNNNNNNNNNNNNNNNNNNNNNNNNNNNNNNNNNNNNNNNNNNNNNNNNNNNNNNNNNNNNNNNNNNNNNNNNNNNNNNNNNNNNNNNNNNNNNNNNNNNNNNNNNNNNNNNNNNNNNNNNNNNNNNNNNNNNNNNNNNNNNNNNNNNNNNNNNNNNNNNNNNNNNNNNNNNNNNNNNNNNNNNNNNNNNNNNNNNNNNNNNNNNNNNNNNNNNNNNNNNNNNNNNNNNNNNNNNNNNNNNNNNNNNNNNNNNNNNNNNNNNNNNNNNNNNNNNNNNNNNNNNNNNNNNNNNNNNNNNNNNNNNNNNNNNNNNNNNNNNNNNNNNNNNNNNNNNNNNNNNNNNNNNNNNNNNNNNNNNNNNNNNNNNNNNNNNNNNNNNNNNNNNNNNNNNNNNNNNNNNNNNNNNNNNNNNNNNNNNNNNNNNNNNNNNNNNNNNNNNNNNNNNNNNNNNNNNNNNNNNNNNNNNNNNNNNNNNNNNNNNNNNNNNNNNNNNNNNNNNNNNNNNNNNNNNNNNNNNNNNNNNNNNNNNNNNNNNNNNNNNNNNNNNNNNNNNNNNNNNNNNNNNNNNNNNNNNNNNNNNNNNNNNNNNNNNNNNNNNNNNNNNNNNNNNNNNNNNNNNNNNNNNNNNNNNNNNNNNNNNNNNNNNNNNNNNNNNNNNNNNNNNNNNNNNNNNNNNNNNNNNNNNNNNNNNNNNNNNNNNNNNNNNNNNNNNNNNNNNNNNNNNNNNNNNNNNNNNNNNNNNNNNNNNNNNNNNNNNNNNNNNNNNNNNNNNNNNNNNNNNNNNNNNNNNNNNNNNNNNNNNNNNNNNNNNNNNNNNNNNNNNNNNNNNNNNNNNNNNNNNNNNNNNNNNNNNNNNNNNNNNNNNNNNNNNNNNNNNNNNNNNNNNNNNNNNNNNNNNNNNNNNNNNNNNNNNNNNNNNNNNNNNNNNNNNNNNNNNNNNNNNNNNNNNNNNNNNNNNNNNNNNNNNNNNNNNNNNNNNNNNNNNNNNNNNNNNNNNNNNNNNNNNNNNNNNNNNNNNNNNNNNNNNCAAUUUCUGUGUAGCACAUAUCCAAGCAAUUUGGAGAUGUUGCUGGAUACAUUGGCAAAAAAAAAAAAAAAGAUAUCUUUGAGAUUUAUUCAUGGAAGAAUCACGCAACUUUUGUUUAUCCCAACAAAAACGUCAUUGAAGUGCAUUGUGCAGGUCAAGAAGAAGAUUUACUCCUUAAAUAUUUUUUUUUGUUUCAUUGAAAUUUUUGUUUGAAUUUUCUUUUGAUGAAAUUUGUUUAAUGUUGGGAGUUUAAUAGUGUUAGGACAUUCUAAUUUAUAAUUUAUUUUAUGUUUUAAUCUUGCUCUUGAUUAUUAUAAUUAAAUGGAGUAUUUUUGUAUAUUGUUUUAUGAAAUAUGUCGUGCUUAAAUUUAAAGCUGAAGAAAAUUAUUGAUAUGUAUGUGUGUAUAUAUAUAUAUAUAUAUAUAUAUAUAUAUAUAUAUAUAUAUAUACACACGUACAUUAAAAAAUAGUAGUAUAUUUCUACGUUACAAAAUUUUGUAAAAUGAGAUUCUUUUAAAAUCAAUACAUACUAUUUUUUAAGAAUUUAUUUUUGACUCACACACACACUAAAUUAAAAAAAACUUCAUACAUAUUUAUUGCUAAAAAUUUUAAUAUAAAAUUUAGGAAAUAUAUUAGUCAACAUUCAUAGAAACGAGAUUGAUUUAAAAUCAUUACAUAAUAAAUUCUUUUCCGGUAGAUAAAUAUUAUAUUUUUCAAUACCAUAUUGCCCUUUUUUUUUGUUUUUUCUUUAUAAUAAUUUGACUUUUUGCUGUUAUAAUAUAGGUAUUAACAAGAUAUAGUAAUUAGUAAUUUCCAAUAUUUUCGCUAUUUUAUAACUGUUUUUAUAUCGAAUGUUUGCUAUUAUAUAAUAAUGUAUGACAUACUUCUUGGUCAUGAGGUAUUUCAUGAAAGCUAAUAAAUUGGUAUUAAUGCAAAUUAUCGUUAUACUAAUAUGUUAUAUAAUUCAUAGAAAUUUUGAUAGCAAUUGUCAUAAAAAACAAAGAUUUUGUUUACAUUAUUAUGGUAAUAUUUAUAUUUAUUUUGAAUCACAACAAAAAAUAUGUUUAGUAAAAUAUAAGUAGCUUUUUUAAUCCUUAUUUUUUUAUCCAUUUUUUUAAUCUUUAUAAAAGUUUGUCAAAUUUUAAUAGUAUUUCGAACUAUACAUUCUAAUAGCAUCACCGGUUUACAUAUAUCUUACUUUGUUAAACAAUGGAAAUGAAUUAAACAAAUAAAUGUAAACUUUGUUAAGAUUUUGUUUUAAAUGAUUUGUUAUGGGUUAAAAGAUUGGGUUUUUUGUUUCAAUAUAGUUGAAUAAAUUUUUAUAUUUGCAGUCAUAUAUAACAAUUUUUUUAAUUGUAUAUGUUUUUGUAGAUAUGAUCAAGACGGACAGCUUAUAUAUUAGCAAUCAAAUGUUUACUACCCAAAAAUAUGUGUACUUUCGGUUAUGUUUACAAUUCCGUUUCAAUUUUUUGUGUACCAAUUUCAUACCAUGUGUCUUCUUUUUAAUUUUUUUUCUUUCUCAUAUUUUAGUUUGUGUACAAUCAGCGAUACAUGCGAAGCAAUUUAUUUAUUAUUUUUUUCGAUAUGAAAAAACCCCAUUAUUUAUUUGUGGCAAAUUUAUUUAUAUGCCAAAUUCCUUUGUUUUGAAUAUUUUUCGUUUCGUAUUUCAUGGUGUUGAUUGGUUGAUCAAACAAUAAUUAUUCAAAAUAUUGUUGUUGGUUUGAUAAUGAUAUUGGUAUUGGUAUUGGUACUGGUAUUGGUAUUGAUAUUAGUAUUAAUAUUAAUAUUAGUAUUAGUAUUAGUAUGAGUAUUAUGAGUAUGAGUAUGAGUAUGAGUAUUAGUAUAAGUAUAAGUAUUAGUAUAAGUAUAAGUAUUAUUAUUAGUAUGAUUGGGAUUAGUAUUAAGAUUAUGAUCAAAAUUAAUAUUAAUAUCAUGAUUAAGAUUGGAAUUGUGAUUAAUAUUAAUAAUUAAUAUUAGUAUUAGUAUUAUAAUUAGGUUAGUAUUACCAUUAGUAUUCCUAUUUGUAUUUGUAUUAGUAUUAUGAUCAGGAUUAUGAAUAGAGUCGUCAUUACAAUUAGUAUUAGGAUUAGAAUUAAUAUUAAUAUGAGUUAUAAUAUUAGUAAUGGUAUGAGCAGUAGUAAUACUGUAAUGGUAAUAAUAUUAGUAUAAGUAUUACUAUUAAGUAUUAGAAUUAUUAUCAAUAUUAAGAUUAAUAUUAGUAUCAGUAUCAGUAUUAAUAUUAGUUUUAGUAUUAAUAUUAGUAUUAUAUUAAUAUUAGUAUAAAUAAUAGUAUAAUUAGUAUUAGUAUUUUUAGUAUUAGUACAAAUAUUUGUGUUAGUGUUAGUGCUACUGUUAAUGUUACGUGUUAGUGUUAGUAUUAGUGUUGGUAGUAGUAGUAUAAUUAAUAUUUGUAUAUGAUUAGAAUUAAGUUUUAAUAUUAUACUUAACACUAGCAUUAGGAUUAUAAUUACGGUUUUGAUAAUAAUAAGGAUUUGCAUUAGGAUUAAGAUUAUGAUUAACAUUAGUAUUAUCAUUAGCAUUAGUAUAUUACGAUUAAUAUGAAAAUUAGGAUUAGUAGUAGGAUUACGAUUAAUAUUAGAAUACUAACAUAAAUAUAUUAUGAUUAACAUUAGCAUACUAGGAUAAUCAUUAGUAUAUUACGAUUAAUACUGGAAUUAGGAUUAGUAUUAGUAAUAGAAUGAUAAUUAGGAUUAAAAUUAGAAUUCAUAUUAGUAUUAGUAUUCCUAUAUGGAUUAAGAUUAGUAUUAGGAUUAAGAUUAUGAUUAGUAUUAGAAUUAGAAUUAGCAACAACAUUAGGAUUACGAUUAGGAUUAAUAUUAGCAUUAGUAUUUGGAUUAUGAUUGGAAUUAAAAUUAACAUUAAAAUUAGGAUUAGUAUUAGAAUUAAUAUUAGUAUUAGCAUUAAUAUUAUCAUUAGCAUUAGCAUAUUUAGAUCGAUUAGCAUCAAUAUUAGGAUUAUGCUUAUGAUUAGCAUAAGCAUUAGCAGUAGAAUUGGAAUUACGAUCAACAUUAGUAUAUUAGCGGCUUAAUUCCACUUUGCACCCUUGAAAUUGAGCCUUUUGGCACUUUGCACCCUUGAAAAACGAUAAUAGCACUUUGCACCCUUGAAAAACAAUAAUAGCACUUUGCACUCUCAAAACACAAUAAAUUAUUCACAAUGCACCCUGAACUGAAUAAUGAAGGAAAUUUUUUUUAUUGUUUUUUUUUUUAUCAGGGAUGCAAAAUAAUACAUAAAUUAUUAUUUUCUUCAACCUCCAACCUAAUUUCGAGCGCAGAAAAUGCGGGAAAAAAAACAUCUGAUCAUUGGAAAAAACUAUAUUUUCUUACAAAAUAAACUAAAAUAAAAUUUUAUCACUAAAUUAUUCGAUUGAUGGAUUUUUUUAUUGUAACUGGUGGAAAUAUGAAGUAAAAAUAUUUGGAAAAAAAAUAUGAUUUUCAGAUAACUUGAUAACGAUUAGAUGAAGGAUUCUUUUUUUUUUUUUUAAUAUUUUAUUGGGAUACAAAAUAUAAUUUUUAAAUAAGUUGAUGAGAUGUAUUUUUAUUUAUGCACUUUAUAGUUUAAAAAUGAUUGAUGAAUAAAAAAAAUUAUUUGACAUUUGUCAUCCUAAAAACUACCACUAAAAAUAUUAAAUUACAUUUAUUAGCUUUAAACAUUCAUUUGGGAUGCAUUAUGCAUGAUUUAUUAUGUUUCGAGGGUGCAAAGUACUAUUAAUUUAUUUCGAGGGUGCAAAGUGCCAAAAUGACAUAUUUCAAGGGUGCAAAGUGGGAUUAAGCCGCAUAUUAGCAUUAGCAAGUAUUAGUAUUAAUGUUAGCAUUAGGAUUAACAUUAGCAUUAGGUACAUUAGGAUUUUACUAUUAGUAUGAAUAUUAGUAUUAUGAUUAGCAUUAUGACUAGAAUUAGUAGAAUUAGUAUUAAUAUUAGCAUUAUAAUUAGAAUUAGGAUUCGGAUUAGGAUUAGCAUUAAUAUUAGCAUAAUAUAAUUAGUAUUAAGAUUAGCGUUAGCAUUAGCAUAUGUGUAUUUUUAGGAUAAGAACUAUGAUUAGUAUUAUUAUUAUGAAUGAAAUUAGCAUUAAAAUUAAUAUUAGCAUUAUGAUUAGGACUAUAGAUUAUGAUUAAGAUUAAGAUUAUGAUUAUAAUUAUGAUUAGAAUUAGCAUUAGGAUUGUAAUUUUGGUUAUGAUUAGCAUUAGCAUUAGUGUUAGGGUUAGAAUUACCAUUAGCAUUAGAAGUAGAAGUAGAAUUAGCAUUAAUAUAUUAGCAUUAGUGUAUUAGGAUUAAUGCUAAUAAUAGCAUAUUAGGAUUGAUAUUAGUAUUAACGUAUUUGGAUUAGGAUUAGCAUUAACACUAGCAUUAGGAUUAUGAUUAAGUUUAUAAUUGAUAUUGCCAAUGGUAUUAACAUUAACAUUACCAUAUUAGGAUUAUCAGUAGCAUUAGUAUUACUAAUAGUAAUAGUAUUAUUAUCAGAUUAGCAUUAGUACAUUAAUAUUAGAAUUAACGUAUUAACAUUAGUAGUAGUAUUAAUAUUAGUAUUAGUAAUAAUAUUAAUUUUAGUGUUAGUAUUAGUGUUAGUAUUAGUAUUAGUAUUAGUAUUAGUAUGAGGAAUAUGAUUAAGAUUAAUACUAAUAAUACAAUUGAUAUUGAUAUUUGUAUUGGUAUUAGUAUUGGUUUGGGUAUUGAUAUUUGUAUUGAUAUUGGUUUUAGUAUCAGUACAUUAGUAUUGGCAUUAGUACAUUAAUAUUAGCAUUAAAGUAUUAGUAUUAGUCGUAGCAUUAGUAUUAGUAUUAGUAUUGGUAUUAGUAUUAGUAUUAAUAUUAGUAUAAGUAGUUGUAAUAGUAUUAGUAUUAGUAUUAAUAUUAAUAUUAAUAUUAGUAUUAGUAUGAUGAUUAUGACUAAGACUAAUACUAAUAAAACAAUUUUGAAAUUAAAAUUAAAAUGAUGACAUGCUUAUCCGUGAUUCUGCAGAUCCAUUUUUUGAUCUUAUAGAGUUUGUUUACCUGGAUAUGGUGAGCAACAUGUUCAAUCCUGAGUACUUUGAGGCCAUAACAAUUAUUGCAUCGGCUAAUUGUUGGGCGAAAACCUACACGCAAGUGCACGUAUCGUACAAGUAAUAUAGUGGACAAUUAAGUCCGGAUAUCGAAUCCACAGGGAAUAUUUAAUUAUCUAAUCCUAGACGCUAAAUUCUACCAAUUAUAAUCAAGCCCACCCUACACAGUCGAAAGAUGAUUAAUAAACUAAAUUAAACUAAAUCAAUUAAAAAGACAAAAACAAGAAAGCAAUUUAAACACGAAGAUUUAUAGAGUAAACGAGCCUAGGAUUUUAUUCUUCCCCCUAUGUGAUUAUUAUUCCCCCAAUUCCUUCAAUUAUGCAAGCAAUUAACCCGGAUUAUUAACCUGAGAUGCUAAAAUAAUCAUAACCCGCUUCCGCGUGUAUUACGAUUCUAAUACUCUAGAUUCGAUUACUAUAUUCCUAUGCAAUUAAUUCUAGAACAUAGCAUUAAGCACAAAUCUCAAUAAUGGCUACCUAAGAGAUUAACUAUAUUCCUAUGUUAAUACCACAAAGGCUCUUCUACCACAGUUCUAAUUAUUAACCCGAUCUUCCGAUUCAUGCGAUUAACAAUAACAUAAAAGUGCAUAAAGUGGCCAGUUUCAUGAACUUAAUAAAACAAGUAGAAGAAAUAAUCCGGAAUUAAAACUUGCAUAAAAUCAUAGAAUUGGGUUCAUAAAUCCCACAUAGGGUUCCAAAUAAAAUCCUAGAAAUAAGAAAUUUAGCUACUCAUGAUUAAAGCAAAAACGCAAAUAAAAUAAAUCAUAGACGAUAAAUCUUUGCUUGGAGUCUUCGAAUUCUUCGUCUUCGUUAUUGCUUUGUUGCUCUUGAAAUUGCGUAAAAAGAUUGCCUAAUUGUGUGCUUGGCUUGGUCUUAUAUAGGGUGAAGAACUUGGGGAAGAAUGCAGUUUCCUUGUGCAAUUAAAAUCCCUUUACUGCGCAAUUUCGGAAUCUCGGACGGGGGUCCCAUAAAUUGCACUAAAUCUGGGACGGGGGUCCGAGCCUUGUUUCUUCAGAAUUUUGAUUUUUUCACUUUUGGCCCACUUUUUCUCCAAAAUUGCAGUUUUGACCCCAUACUUUUCCAAUUCUUCAAUUUGUACCUAAAAAACAAUAAAUCAACUUUUUAAGCACCAAUUAUCGUUAAAACACACCAAAAGCUCAAAUAAAAAGAUAUGAUAAAGUGUAAAAAUAUACACUUAACACUAAUGAAAGUGUCGGUUUUGUGAAUGAUCUUUUUUUUUGUCGCUCAUAACUGGAGAAGAGAAGGUUUAUUUGAAUUCCGAUAGUGUGUACAAUGAGGAGUUAAUAUCAUAGAUCCGAGUUCCUCAACACCAUAUCGUGCUCCAGAAUUCCACCUAGGUUGCAUUGAAAAGAUGUAUUCCCGUUAUGCUCAUCAAAAAUAUUGAUCAGGCUAGAGGAUCGUGCAGUGGAACUAGGCUUCAGGUUAUUAAUAUGGGAAAACACAUUCUCAAAUGCAUGACACUACCCGAUAAACAUGUUGACCAUAUAGUGUACGUUCAUUGCUCAAAUGACAUUGGUACCGUCCAACUCUACAUCGUUUAUUAAAUUUUAGCAAUGUCAGUCUUCGGUGAUGGUUUCCUUUGCAAUAACAAUAAAUAAAAGUUAAAGACAAACUCUUUCCCAUGUCGUACUGCACUUGCUCAGACAUGUUUUCAGUCAUGGACAACUCUAUGUCGCACUCUCGAGAGUUAAUAGUUAAAGUGGCAUAAGGAUUUUGAUCACGUCGGAAUCUAGCGAUACAACCAACUACAAAUAAUGUGGUACAAGGAUGUUUUUCGGCAUAUAUGAAGGUAUUUAUAUAAUUUUUUUUUACAAUUUUACAUAAUAACCUUUAUUUUGUAUAACUUAUAUGUUUUGGCAUUCCUCAUUUGUAGGCUAAUUUGCAUUGUACUAGAAACUUGCUACGGGCUCCACUCAAUAUUUUUAUCAAGGUAAUUUAUUGUAGAAUGAUUUUAUGUCAUUAAAUAUUUAUAUUUGUAUUAUUUUGGUAACGUUUUACUUAUUUUGUAUAAUCAUUGUACAAAAUAGCAGGUCAAUUGCAUUGUAUUGGAUUCGUUACAUGCGUUUAGGGAUAUUGUAGCUGAGACACGCUCAAAUAAUCUUCAACGAAUCAGUGAGCUCCAUCCUCUUUACUUGCCUCUACAGUAUCCUCUUUUAUUUCCUUACAGGGAAGAUGAUUAUCGAGACGAUAUCUGUUUGAGAGAAUCUUCGCUUGCUGAUAAUAGAAAAUGGAGGAAGGUAAGCAUGCGAGAGUUCUUCGCAUAUCUAAUCCAGAAACGGCGUUGAUAACAUUUGUUACUUUUGCAUUUCAAGAAGUUAUUUCAGCAGUUCUGUGUUGAUGGAUUUUCGAUGGUAGAGUCACAGAGGUUGAAUUUCAUAAGGUUCAAUCAAGAUCAACUUAGGGUUGACAUGUACAAGGGUAUCGAAGAAAAUAUUUUUAAAGGAGACACUGAGGGUAAAUCAGUUGGACAACGCAUUAUAAUUUCAGGGUCGUUCACCGCAGGUCCAAGGUAUAUGUUUAACAACUUCGUUGAUGCUCUUCAAAUAUGUAACUGGAUUGGAUCUACAACCCUCUUCAUUGUCAUCACAUGCAAUCCUCAAUGGCCAGAAAUACAAAGGGCGUUGAAAGAUACAAAUCUCAGGCCGGAGGAUCGGCCAGACAUUCUUUGUCGUGUGUUCAAGAUGAAGCUCAAUAGUAUGAUGACAGAAAUCAAGAAAGGUUGUAUAUUCAGACGUAUUACAACAUGUAAGUAUUUAAUUAGAUCUCAGUUUAUAAUUAUACAUUUACUUCAUUCAUAUAAAUUAAAGAAUUUGCUCAUGUGUGAGUUUAACUACUAAUUGCUUCCUUAACUAAAUUAAUGCAUAUUUUUUUAAUACCAUAUGUUUAUAUUUUCUAUGCAGAUGUAUGCUUAAUUGAAUUUCAGAAACGAGGUCUACCGCAUGCACAUAUUUUAUUAUGGUUUCAUAAUAACGAUAAGACCAAUAACCCAGAAGAAAUUGAUAGGAUCAUCUGUGCUGAAAAUCCUGACGAAGUAAACGAUCGAAAGAUGUACCAGUUGGUGGAGAAGUAUAUGAUACAUGGAACGUGCGGUCAGGCGAAUUUGAGAUCUCCCUAUAUGAAGGAUCGAGUUUGCACAAAGCGAUUUCCAAAGCCAUUUGUGCUGCGCACUGAAUCAGAUGUAGAUGGUUUUACUGUGUACAGGAGAAUGGAAGAUGGCAGAACAGUUACGAAGAAGAAGACUACUCUUGACAAUGGGUUUGUAGUCCCGUACAAUCGUAUAUUGUUGAGUAAAUACCGAUCUCACAUUAAUAUCGAGUCAUGCAACCAGAACAAGUCAAUCAAAUACAUGUUCAAAUACGUAAACAAGGGGCAUGGCCGAGUUACGGCGGCAUUUUAUGAAACACGCAAUACAGAUGGCGGUGCUGAGAUUUGUGAUCAGAUAAAGAUGUACUACGACUGCAGAUAUCUUUCGGCAUGUGAGGCAAUGUGGAGGUUUGCGAACUUGAGUUAAAAGAGGAUUCUCAAACUUGGGCGCCAAGGAAAAAAAGAUUUUCUAUUGGUAGGCUUGCGAAUGUUCCCCCUGGAAAACAAAAAGACUAAUACCUUAGAUUGCUACUUAACAUCCAGAGGGGAUAUACGUGCUACGAGGACAUCAGAAAAGUUUUUGACACCGUCUACCCUACGUUCAGGGAUGCAUGUUAUGUGUUGGGUUUAUUAGAUAACGACAAAGAAUACAUAUAUUCAAUAAUAGAAGUGAAUACUUGGGCACCGAGGGAUUAUAUAAGAAGGUUAUUUGUAGUUAUGCUUCUUUCCAAUAGCUUAAGUCGGCCCGAACAUGUUUGACAAAGUUGUUGGUUGGAUUUGGCUGAGGGUAUUGCUUACAAACAACAAAGACUUCAUAAUAAUCCAGAUAUGGCAAAUUGUAUAACACAUUAUUCAAUUAGAUUUUAAAUAUUACUCAUAUUUUUAAUAUUGUCGUCUCUCACCGAAAUAGAAAAAAUAUUGCAAAGCAAUGGUAAAAGCUUGCGAAAUUACGCGCCCAUGCCAGUUCCAAUCGAAUUCUCAGCGGAUGACACAAUAAACAUAUUGGUGUUAGAUGAACUGGAUUACGACCGAUUUGAAAUGGGUAGGGAACUUCAACGGUGUCUUGCUUGAAUUACAUACGUGCAAACAAAGAUUUAUGAUGUAGUCAUGGAUGUUGUAUCCAAUGACCGUGGUGGAAUGUUCUUUCUAUAUGGCCAUGGUGAAACGGGAAAGACAUUUCUAUGGUAAACUCUUUCGGCUGCAGUUCGUUCCAAGGAAGAGAUUGUAAUUAACGUUGCAUCGAGUGGUAUAGCAUCAUUAUUGCUCUCCGGUGGAAGAACAGCUCAUUCUCGAUUCGGACUACCCAUAAAUGUACACGAGAGUUCCACCUGUAGCAUAUCGCAAAAAAGUCCACAUGCGGAGUUGUUCAUAAGGGCAAAGCUUAUUAUAUGGGACGAGGCUCAUAUGAUGCAUAGAUACUGUUUUGAAGCGCUUGACAAGACAAUGAAGUCAAUAUUACAGGUUGACAAACUCUUUGGUGGUAAGGUGGUUGUUCUUAGAAGAGAUUUUAGGCAAAUUUUACCAGUUGUGCUCAAAGCAUCAAGGCAGAACAUAGUACAUGCUACGAUAAACUCCUCUCCGCUGUGGAAUUUCUGUCGUGUCAUGAAGUUGACUAAGAACAUGAGAUUGCAGUCAUGCUCUUCUCCAUCUAACGUGGAUGAGGUAAAAUAAUUUGGAGACUGGAUAUUGAAGGUUGGUAGUGAGGAUGUUGGGGAACAAAAUCAUGGUGAAGCUUCGAUAGUGAUUCCCGAUGACAUGUUGAUUGGUGAUUCAGAAGAUCCAUUCAGAGACCUACUGGAAUUCGUUUACCCGGAUUGUUGAGUAACAUGUAUGAUUCAGAUUAUUUUCAAGGGAGAACAAUUCUUGCACCAACUAAUGAAUACGUCGAGUUUGUGAAGGAUCACUUAAUGUCUCUCCUUCUAGGAGAGGAGAAGGUGUACCUGAGCUCAGAUAGUAUGUUUAGGGACGAGCAAACAAUGGAUGAUAAUGCAGAAAUUUAUUCGACUGAAUUCCUCAACACAAUAAGAUGCUCCGGACUUCGUUCUCAUGCGUUGAAGUUCAAGAUUGGUGCACCCGUUAUGCUAAUAAGAAACAUCGAUCAAGCUAAAGGAUUGUGUAACAGGACCAAACUUCAAAUUAUUAGAACUGGCAUUCACGUUCUGAGUUGCAAAAUUCUUUCCGGAAAAAAUAUCGGUGACAUGGUGUUCAUUCCUCGAAUGACUUUAAUACCAUCUACCGGACUGCCAAUUAAAUUUCAGAGAAGACAGUUUCCGUUGAUUGUUUCUUUUGCAAUGACAAUCAAUAAAAGCCAAGUUUCAAACUCUUUCGCAUGUUGGUUUGUAUCUUCCUAAGCAUGUCUUUAGCCAUGAUCAACUAUAUGUUGCACUGUCCAGAGUUACGAGCAGAGGUGGCAUUAAAAUAUUCAUCAAGUUGGAUUCGGGCGAACUCACCAAUGUUACUAGAAAUGUCGUGUACAAUGAAGUAUUUCAUCGAAUUUGAAGGUAGAUAAUAUUUUCAUAUUUACCAAUUAUUCAUGUAACAUGUCUUGUUUUUAACAACUUAUUCUUUGGCAGGUGUUUCUUCUCUAUAUAAUUUCCCCCGUGCGAUGUUAUUUUCAGUCAUGUCUCUAGGAUGCUCCUUGCAAAUUUUAUUAUCUUUAAGAUUUAAUUUUGACGAUAUACUAAUAUUUAAUAUUAUUCUUAUGAUGUAACUAUGAAGAACAUGUUGCUUCAAUAUUGCUGAUCGCGUUUUGUAUUUAAAUUCAAUGAGCGUAAUAAUUUAUAUAUGCGUAAAUUUAUUUUUCAGACAUGUAUUUCCAGUUGAAAAUAUGCCACCCCGUGCAUCGCACCGGUGAAUACUAGUUUUAUAAUUGCAAGAUUUUAUGGUGAUAAUGUGAUAAAUUAUGUUUUAUUUGCAAUCUUGAAUAUGCAAGUAAUUAUUAAAGGUUUAAUUUCAUAUAUGUGACACUAAUGUUAUUCAGAAAGAGCUAAAUGUGGAUAUUGAUUUGCGAAAAUAAAGUUGUGAAAAGUAAUAUUUAUUAUUUGUGAAGUGAAACAUUAUUCAAAGUUUUCAAUUGUUGACUAUUGAAAAUCUAAAUGAAAGGAAUUAUAUUUCUAUUUGAUUACAUUGUUCAUCUUGUGUGAAUAAGCUAUAUGUUGAUAUUUAAAAGUCAAAAUUCAUAUCAAUUUUGAUUGAUGCGUUUUUUAUAUUAACCUGUGAAGAGGUCGAUUGAUGCCUAAUGUGAUAUAUAAAAUCCCGAUGUGGGAUAGAUCAAUGCCUUGUGCUUUGAUAAAUAUGAUUGAGAAUAAAUCAAAUGCUUUGUGAUUUGAUAAAUAUGAUUGAGAAAAAUCAAAUGCUUCGAGCUUUGAUAAACGAGAUUCAAAAACUGCAGUUGACAUAUUGCGAGAAUCUUUUCAUGGAAUCCGGAACCAUUAAAGAAAAUACAGUACUGUGAAUAUAUGUGAAAAUUCACGUGAAAAUCUAUGAGAUAUUACAUGUAAAAUUAUUUGAGAAUGGUUAAUAAACCAUUGAGUCUACGAGACUAAAUGUCAGAUAAGCGCUACAAAAUUUGUGAAAUUAUAUUUCAUAUUAUUUCAGAAAUCAUCUGAAAUGCAUCGAGGGGGAUUUGAUUAAAGCCUAAUAUAUUUUGUAAAGUUGUUGAUGAGGAUACUACCGCCUAGGGGCUAGAGAUCCUACGAACUAGGCGAAGAAAAACGAAUCUGAAAGCAACUUGAUAGUGAUAAAAGUGCACACAUUUAUUAUCCAUCCCUAUGAUGUGUGUGCACUAAUAAAGCUCGUAACGAAUUGUGAGGUUGAGACUUUGAUCUCUUAAUGAGUUCUAUAGCCCGGAUGGGUGGGGUGUUGAAGUUACGUAAACAUCCUUGAUAGAAUUCACCUUGUGAGUGUGGAAGUGGGGCCGCUUCCUAUGAGAAUUAAGGUUGUUCUCUAGAGCUCUCACGAGAAAUGGGAUAAAUAACAUGGCCGUUAAUGUGCUGGCUUUAGAUGCUUCGAUCGGGACACUUUGAGUAUUAUGUGUGCAAUAUGAUUCUACGUGCCCCAAGGGUCACUGUUUGAAGGCUAAGUCCACUUUGAUUCUAGUACGGGAAACAUAUUGUACUAAGUGAAGGUUUGAAGGCAUUGUCCACUUUCAUUAUACAUAAUAUUCCGCAAGAGCUCAAGUAUUACUAAUAUUCUUAUUUUUAUUAAAAUAGUGGGGGAUUAUUGGAGUUUUUAAUAAAAAUAAUAUAUUUUAUUAUAAAAAUAUAAUAAUGACUUUGACCACUUUUAUGAGGGUCAUUAGACCACUAUUUUGAAACCUUCAAAGUCAUUAUUCUCCUACAUAAAACACCAUAAUUAUAUAUUAAAUUGAGGUUUUAUGGGGAUCAUAUUAUAUACUAUAUAAAUGGGGCAUUGUGGCUUGUAAAAAGAAGGGAGUGUGAAGAGAAAAAGAAACACCUUUUAUCUAUACUACUUUGAGCUCUUGUUGUGUGUCGGGUGUAAGCUUCUACUUCACUCGAACGUGCAAUUUCGGUGAAGUUACAGCGGAGAGAUAGGCUGGGCUGUUGUAUCCCAUAGGCGACACGGUCGGAACCUUUUUGCACCUCAUUAGAGAAGGGGUCGUGAAAUUCGUCUUAAGAGAGCGACCUAGUCCGCGCCUCACCUUGCCUAUCUCCACAUUAUCGUGGUUUUUAUCGCAGCAACUUGUUAUAUAUAAAAUUGGAGAACAAAUGGAGUACAGGCCUCAAUCCAAAAGUUUCGUGAUCAAUCGCCAAAUUACAGCCGUGGUUCCAACAGAAAGCAAGAAAGGAAAAAAAAUGAAAGAAAUUAUUCUUCCGCUUAAUACAAAUUGGACAAAUUCAAACGCGAAAAAUUUAACGAUAAAAUCAAGAACAUUGAUUGAGCAAGCCUAAUAAUAAUAAGAAAAUGCGGAGGGGGUGGAAUUUAUUGGUACUUCAUCUCGGACAUUUUGAAGCCAGGCAUGUCAAAGGAGGACGAAAACUUUUCGACGUCGGCCUUAAGCUCUUCAAUGUCUUUGUUGUUGACAAGUCCUUUGUUGAAGUCCUUUAGUAGUUUACCGUGUUCUUUCUGGAUCUUUAGGGUUACGCUCACUGCCCUGUGUAUGAACUCGGCUAUCUGCUCAAAGUCUUUCUCGACUAAUCCUCGAGAUGUCAUGGCGGGCACACCUGCGAAAUUCCACGAAUUUUUUUUUAAUCAUAAAAUUACAGAUGGGCACACUCAAAAAAUCAUAUAAACACGAAAAUCAUAUAAAUUUCGACUUUUAUGUCUAGUAAUGCAAAUAAAGCUACAGGUAAUUGCAUCGGGAUUCAUACCAAUGCGAACACCUCCAGGGGCCAAUGCACUGCUGUCACCAAACACAGCAUUCUUGUUAACAGUAAUGUUGCACAGGUCACAUAGUUUCUCAACCUUGUUUCCUGAAUUAUCUAUCUAUACUUACUAUCUAUAAAAUGAGGUAUAAGUUAGGGGUUUCUUCCCUUUUUUGUACUGACAAAAAUAACCUUUUGAUAUGUAAAAUUUGGAGGUCAAUUCGGUAACUCAAUUAAUACUUCAAUAUAAUUAUUAUAUAUCUAAUUAUUAUAUGUAUAACUCAAUUCGGUUCAUGAACAUAAAAGAAGCAUGUCCGCAAAAAGAAAACAUAACCGUUUAAAUUAUAACCAUUUAAAUUCAUAUUCAUAUUAUAACAUAAAAUGCAUUAAUACGCACUUGAACACCCCUUCAAUUUCUAUUCUGUACAUUAAGCUUUAGUGUUGGAAAUAUCAUACCAAUCGGUGGGGAAGCUUGAAGGGCAACGUCGAAUUAAUGCUGAGUAAUAAUAUAUAUAUAUAUAUAUAUAUAUAUAUAUAUAUGGUUUUAUUUUUCCUACAUCCGGUGAAGGUUACACCGGGUGAUUUAUAUCUAUAUAUAUAUAUAUAUAUAUAUAUAUAUAUAUAUAUAUAUAUAUAUAUAUAUAUAUAUAUAUAUAUAUAUAUAUAUAUAUAUAUAUAUAUAUCUGACGAGUCAGACCUACAAACAUAUCCCCAUAAGAAAAACCACCAAUUUAUUUUACAAGAUUUUAAUCAAUAGGUAAUGCGUACUUGCUCUCUCUCUUUUUUCUUUUCUUUUGUUUCUAACUUUAGAGUUUUGCUUUUGAUUUUUCAAUAAUAUAUAUGAGCAGAUGUAUUUGUUUAGUAUAUAUUAUUGUUAAUCUCUUUCAUGUUAGCCUUAUUUAGAGUGGUUGCUCAUUGUCUCUGAAGAACUCUACAAGCUUAUCGCGUUACACCCACAAUCAGGUUUAGAUCAAUUGAUUUCACAUUUUUCUUAAAAGUUCAAUUCUUUUGGUUGACUGUCAAUAGUCUUUGUUUGAAUAUGUGUAUAUUUUUAAGUUCGCAUAUAAUAUUUCGGUAAUUAAACAACAUAAAACCCCCAUGUGUUAUGGAAAGUAUACACCAUAUCCUCUUUUGUUAAUUUUAUUACGUAGAAUCUUCUUGUGUUUUAUUUUAUUUUGUAUGAAAUCCCUAUUCGGUUAACUUUUAAAACAAUUAACUAUUGAGGGAAUAUCAUGCAAUUAUUUAGCAACACAAGGGAGUUUGGUGCAUCUUUGUCACCAUACAAGGGAGGUUUUUGCAAAAUAAUUUAUUUAUUUAAAAUUCAAAUUAUUCUUUCAAAUCAAAGGCCAACACAUUUAAUUUAUUCAAUUGAAAAAUAUAUCAAAAUUACAGACUGAUGCCUAAUGGUACUGUCAAAAUUUGUAACGAUUUUUUUUAUUUGCCAUUUCUAAUUCAAACUUUCAAAUUUUAGAAAAAAAUUCUCAUUUGGGUUUCCAAAAUUUGAUUCAAUUUGAAAUAGAAUUCAGAAAAAUAGCAUCCAAAUUGAAAGUAAGUAAAAUUUUGAUUUUUUUUUAAAGUUUGGAUAAAAUUUUAAUUUAUUUGUAGGGGUUAUUUUACAUACCCCUAGCCACCAAAUAAACUAGGGAUAAACCCAAGCCUAAAUCAUCAUUUGACAUACCCCCGAAGAAGCGAAAGUACUAUACUACCCUUAUGUGCAAUUUUCGGCCAAACUGCAUUCAGCAUUUAUGGUCCUGCAUUUAUCAUUUUCGCUGAUUUAUUUAUUAUUAUUUUUUUUUUUUUNNNNNNNNNNNNNNNNNNNNNNNNNNNNNNNNNNNNNNNNNNNNNNNNNNNNNNNNNNNNNNNNNNNNNNNNNNNNNNNNNNNNNNNNNNNNNNNNNNNNNNNNNNNNUAAUAUAUAUAUAUAUUGUGUUUUUUGGAGUUUUUGUAUAAAUAAAUUUUUUUUUUUUUUUUUUUUUUAAAUUUUCAAAACAAUAUGUUACAAUACUGAAAAUAACUACAUGUAACUAUAGUACCUAUAGUAAUUCAUAGUUAUGUUCAUUUUUUCCCCAUAUUUUUAGUCGAUCAAUUGUACGUAUACACACACGAAUACUGACUUAUACAAAAUAAAUUCAUAAAACCCCAACAAAAAUUUACAAAUUUAAAUAUUUUUAUUAUAAAUCACAUCAGAACCAAUAAAAUACAAAUUGAAAAUACAUAAAUAUACGCAUAUGUAACUACAUGUUACUAUAGUAAUGUAUAGUAAUGUAUAUAGUCUGUUGAACAGAUCUGAUGUAACUUAAAAAACAAAAAAUUGACACCUUCAAGGAAAUGAUCAAUGGCCUUCAUUAAGCUGCAAUUGCAAAAUCAAAACAUAAAGAAAUUAGUUUAGUGUAAAUCAACAAAUUUGAAUAAAAACAUCAAAACACUCAAAAAUCACCAAAUAUUAAGAGAUCGAGAGAUAGAGAGAGAGGUUAUUGCUGGGAAAUGCAAAAAAAAUAUAGAAAUAAAUCUGAAAAAGAUAAAAAUAAACGAAAUUACCAUCAAAAUAUAUAUCCCGACGAGAGGAAUCCAACGGUGGAUGACCCGUCAAAUUUCGACGGGUGGAACACAAAAUAAAGCUCCGGCAAGACCACCGUCCUCGAAUGAAAAAACAUUGCAGAAACAGAUCCGCGCUCGAAACUGAAUGAAAUCACCACCAAAAGAAAGAGCUCGACGAGAGGAAUCCAACGGUAGUUAAACCAUCGAAUUCCGACCACCGGAGAGAGAGUUAUGGCUCCGGGAAGCAAUUUCGCCGGUGAGAGGUUUGUAGAGGCGGGAUUUUGAAUCUGGGAGAAGAAGAGAGAGACCGUGAGUGGCUAGGGUUAAAACUGAUUUUAGAAGGGUAUUAUAGGAACUUCAGGGUAGCCCAGGGGAUAUGUCAAAAUAUUUUCGAAAUGAGGGGGGUUUCACCUAGAGUGUAAUCCACUUGGUAGUUAGUUCUAUAUAAUUUGGAAAUGAGGGGAGUCUACAAAAUAAUCCCUUAUUUGUAUUAGGAAAAAAACAAUAUUUUUUCCAAAAUCACAUAUAUUUAUAAUAUCAACUCUAAUAUAUCAAAAUUGUCAUAUAUCUAUAGUAUUAAUAUAAUAAAUAUAUUAUUUUUUCAUAAACCCCUUAAAAGAUGAAAUUUAAAAGUAAGUUUUUUUUUUUAUUAUUUAUGGUAGAUGAAAGCAAGGGCGGAACUAAGGCACCACAAGGGGGAGCCAUCUCUAGCGGAACUAAGGUUUUUUUGAUUAGUUUUUUUUAUUUUCAUUUAACCCUAAAAAUAAAGAUACUCGCUUCUAAUGCGCGCGCGCGCACACACACACACACACACAUAUAUAUAUAUAUAUAUAUAUAUAUAUAUAUAUAUAUAUAUAUAUAUAUAUAUAUAUAUAUAUAUAUAUAUAUAUAUAUAUAUAUAUAUAUAUAUAUAUAUUUAUUUAAGGAGUUUCAGUGGUUGCAUAGUAUGCUUGUAUUACAUUAGCAAGACUUUAGAAUUAUUGUUGCUUUCUAAAGAAUUAAAAAAAAUAUAUAUAUAUCAUGGCGCUGCCCUGAACUCCUGUAAAUCAUCCCCUCCCCCCGACCCUCCCUGAAUCUGCGUCCCUGGAUUAAAGUAUUGCAAAAUAUAUGAGAUAAAGCAUAAUUUAUGAAUUAUUUUUAAUAUUUUAUUUCUACCAAAGUUCUUAAAAUACUACAAAUGUUUAUAACAAUAUUUUAUAUAAAAUAAAAUUCUAUUUUUUCCUAAUAAGAUAUCACGCUUAAAUAUACGGAAAAUUUUUCUAUAUUAGCAUUUUGUCAUGUCGAUCUACAUGAUUUUUUAUGACGACUUCUGAUUUUCUGAAUAAUUUAAGGACAAAAUGCACUUCCCCCAAUAAAUUUAUGUUUUUCGCACUUUCCUCCCUAAAAAUUAAAAAAAUGGAUAUUCCUCCUUUAAAAUAUUAUUUUGAUUGAACUUUGCUCCAUAAGCCAAUUUUUGUGGGUAUUGUACAACAAAAAUAACACAUAAAUGGGCUACAUGCGACAGAAAUACUCAACUACGAUGAAUAAUCCAUUGACAUUUUGAUAUGGGGGCUAUAUGCAACAAGAAUAACAUUUUGAAGGGGGCAUUUACUUUUUAAAAAAAAUAGGCGGUAAAGUGUAAAAAUUAGAAAUUUACAUGGGGUGAUGUGCAAUUUGCCCAUAAUUAAAUUAUAAUAGUAUUUCCCCAUUAGGUGAUUGUAUUUCUAAUACAGUCUUUAGAGAGGUGUUGGAGAAAAAAAAUCAUAAUAAGAACUUAAUCGUAUAAGAAAAUAUCUUUUUAGUAAAUAUUAGAACUUGAUUAAAUAAAUGAUGAUGCUAGAAUUUCGAGAGACAAAAAAACGUCACCAAAAAUGGAUUAGAUGAAAGAAGAAGAAGAACAAUGAUAAUUGUUACACUGUCAUUUAAAAGUUUUUAAGUAAUGAAUAUGAAGAUUUUGUUAUCCAUUGCGCUACAUCAAGAUCAAGCAAAAUCAAUAUGAUCAAAAAUCUACAUUAACAUAGAACUUAUCACAUCACAAUUUAUUAAAUAUUUAUUUAUAAUAUAGCUUAAUUUUAAUGAAAUAAAUUAUUAAUAAAUAUAAAAAUAAUUAACAAAAAUCAUAAACCACGUGCAACGCACGUGUCAAUUACUAGUAUCAGAUAAAUAUAUUAAUUGAAGUUACAAGUCAGUAAACACAAUAAUACUAUUGUCAACAACAUCAAUAUUAUUAGUUUUUUGGCCUUUUUAUUUUGUUUGAUUUGUUGAUCACAAUAAUAUUAUUCUCAACUACAUCAAUAUUUAAUUUUUUUUUAUUUUGUUUGAUUUGUUACCGAUUAGAGCAACUCCAAUGGGGUUUUCAAACAUGGUAUUCAAACCAUUAACCACUAUUUAUACACCAAAAAAUAGAAAUUUUUAACUCCAAUGGAAUUAUCAAAUUAGGAUUCUAUUUUGAUAAUUCAACUUUUGGGAUGUAAAAAUACUUGCUGGAAAUUGAGUUAUCAAAAGUGAAACUAUCUAAACAUCCAAUCAAAAGAGGAUGUGUGGCAAUUACAAAUAAAAUCACCAAUAAACUUCCAAUUGAUAAUAAGUUUGAUAACCAUGGUUGGAGUAGAUGAAUUUUAAUCAAUAUUAAAAUAUUAUCUCAAAUAUCAAAUAAAUAUUUGAUAAUUCAAUUUUAGUAUUUAGCAUUGAAGUUGCUUUUAACGUAAUAAUAUAAUUGUCUACUAUUAUAAUAUUACUGUAAACACAAUAAUAUUACUGUUACUGUCGUCACAUUAAUAUUAAUGUGGUUGACUGUUAAGUGUAGAUUUUUACACUUUGUCGUAUCUUUUUAUUUGAGCUUUUGGUGUGUUUUAACGAUAAUUGGUACUUAAAAAGUUGAUUUAUUGUAUUUUAGGUACAAAUUGAAGAAUUGGAAAAGCAUGGGGUCAAAACUGCAAUUUUGGAGAAAAUAUGGGUCGAAAGUGAAAAAAUCAAAAUUCUGAAGAUUUAAAGCUCGGACCCCGUCCCAGUUUUAGUUCAAAUUGUGGGACCCCCGUCCGAGACUCCGAAGUUGCGCAGUAAAGUGAUUUUAAUUGCACAAGGAAACUGCCUUCUUCCCCAAGUUCUUCACCCUAUAUAAGACCAAUUCAAGCACACAAUUGAGGAUCUUUUAGAACGCAAAUUUCAAGAGCAACAAAGCAAUAACGAAGACGAAGAAUUCGAAGACUCUAAGCAUAGAUUUAUCGUUUAUGACUCAUUUUAUUUGUGUUUCUCCUUUAAUCAUGAGUAGCUAAUUUUCUUUUUCUAGGAUUUUAUUUGGAACCCUAUGCGGGAUUUAUGAACCCAAUUCUAUUUUUUAUGCAAGUUUUAAUUCCGGAUUAUUUCUUCUACUUGUUUUAUUAAGUGCAUGAACUUGAUCAACUUAUGUGCUUUUAUGUUAUUGUUAAUCGCAUGAAUCGGAAGAUCGGGUUAAUAAUUAGAACUGUGGUAGAAGAGCCUUUGUGGUAUUAACAUAGAAAUAUAGUUAUUCUCUUAGGUAGUCAUUAUUGAGAUUUGUGCUUAAUGUUGUGUUCUAGAAUUAAUUGCAUAGGAAUAUAGUAAUUGAAUCUAGAGUAUUAGAAUCGUAAUACACGCGGAAGCGGGUUAUGAUUAAUUUAGCAUCUCAUGUUAAUAAUCCGGGUUAAUUGCUUGCAUAAUUGAAAGAAUUGGGGGAGUAAUAAUAACAUAGGGGGAAGAAUAAAAUCCUAGGCUCGUUUACUCUGAUAAAUCUUCGUGUUUAAUUUGCUUUCUUGCAUUGUCGUUUUAAUUUGCCUUUUAAUUUAAUUUAGUUAAUUGUCUCUAAAAUUCGACUGUGUAGGGUGGGCUUGAUAAUAAUUGGUAGAAUUUAGCAUCUAGGAUUAGAUAAUUAAAUAUUCCAUGUGGCUUCGAUAUCCGGACUUUUAGUCCACUAUAUUACUUGUACGAUACGUGCACUUGCGUUUAGGUUUUCGGCCAACAAGUUUUUGGCGCCGUUGCCGGGGAAUAUUUUAAUUAUUUAUUUUAUUCUAGCUCUAGAUUUGAACAAUUUUCACGAUUCACCCAUUUAAUUUUUGUUUUAUUUUUUUUAGGUACUUUGUAUGCGCAGGAGACUCGAUCUUGCUAGAGAACCGUUUGAUCCCGAAAUCGAACGUACUUUUCGAGCCGCUAGGAGACCUCAACGCGAAAACAAUAUAAUGGAGGACGAAGAACGCAGGGCAGCGGGUAAUUUACUCAAUGCCAAUGGAAACCAAAUCCAAGACCCACCCCCUCAACUCCCAUUACAGCCAGCAGCUAGGCCACGGGCACUUCAAGACUACAUAAUCCCGACUCAUGACGGAUUCCGCCCGAGCAUCCAAUAUCCACCUAUUGAGGCGCACAAUUUUGAGAUCAAGCAAGGCCUAUUGACGAUGCUCCAAAAUAACGGGCUAUUUAGUGGAUUGGCGGGUGAAGAUCCCCAUCUUCACAUUGUCAAUUUUCUAGAUACCUGUAAUUCCCACCGUCAAAACGGCGUUUCCCAAGAGGCGCUUCAAUUAAUUCUCUUCAAGCACUCCUUACAAAGAAGAGCUCGCCAGUGGUUGAUGUCCCAAGCCCCCCACUCUAUCUCGUCGUGGCCUCAACUCCUCAACCUUUUCAUGAAAGUUUAUAGCUCACCCGAGAAGGACGAGAGAAUCCGACGAGAAAUUCAUAAUUUUGUCCAAGAGCAAGGCGAGCAAUUAUACGAGGCAUGGGAGAGAUUUAAAACCCUUUUGCGGCAGUCUCCAACACAUGGAGUCGAACAAUGGCGGCAAAUCCACAUCUUCUACCAAGUGAUUAACGAGAAUGCACGAACCGUUUUAGAUGCCUCAACCAGAGGUAAUUUUAUGAGUCAAUCGAUACCGGAUGCAUUUAUCAUGUUGGAUCAAAUUGCACAAAAUCGGUUUGCCAAGUCAAGCGAGAGGACGGUUAGUGGAGCCAAGAAAGUUCCCGGAGUGUUGGAGUUAGAUGCAAUUACGGCCCUUCAAGCUCAAGUGACCCAAAUUGCUGAACAAAAUCAACUCCUUCUACAACACAUCAAAGCAAAUCCAUCACAACAAGUCCAAGCCGUUGAAUCUCCAUGUUGUACAUGAAAUUUGCGGUGGUAAUCAUUACACGCUCCAAUGCCAACAAGAUGUGGAAUCGCUCAACUAUGUCAAUAAUGCGCCUCGCCAUUUUCAAAAUCAAGGGUGGAGAUCACAAGGGCAAUACGGAGGAAAUCAACAAGGCCAAGGAUAUCAAAGACCUCAAGGUCAAUUCCAAAAUCAAGCCCCUCCUUAACAAAGCUAUCAAGGCAACAAUCCACCGGCCCAAAAAUCAAACACGGAGGAGAUAUUGGCCCAAUUCAUGACCGCUACCCAAGCCUCGCUGCGGAAUUUGGAGAAUCAAUUCGCUCAAUUCGUUGUGAAUCUAGAGAAACGCCCGCCAGGAGCAUUGCCAUCGAAUACGGAAGAUCCUCGAAAUCAAAAGUUCGAGACGUGCCAAGCUAUCGAUGUCAAGAUCGAAAAAAGGGAAGAAAUUCAAAUAAAGCCGCAAGUCACUGUAGCUGAAUGGGUGGAACUUAUCCCAUAUCCACAACGGUUGCUAACAAAAAAGAUCGAGGUCGAGACGUGCCAAGCAGUCACCUUGAAGAACGGUAAGAAAUUUGAGGAAGCCCUACAAAAAGAGAAGAGAAACACGGUAAUCGAGAAGCCGAAAGUGAAUGAGGAAAAAGAAUCAACUCAUGAAGAGCCACCAUCAACGGUGCCUUCACAAGUCCCUCCAAUUUCUUAUCCUCAAAAAUUUAUAAAGAAGAAGCUCGAUGUUGAAUAUCAAAGAUUUCUGGACAAGUUGAAGAAAAUUCGCAUAAAUAUUCCUUUCAUUGAAGCACUUCAAAAGAUGCCAAAGUGGGUGAAGUUCCUCAAGGACCUCGUGAAGAAAAGUAAGAAAUUGCAAAGGAACGAGAUGAUCCAACUCACGGAGCAAAUUAGUGCAAUUCUUACUCGGCCUCUUCCACAAAAACUCGGCGAUCCAGGUAAGUUCAAUAUUCCUUGUACUAUAGGAGGUAAAAAUUUUAGAUCGCUCAUUGAUUUAGGUGCUAGCAUUAAUCUUAUGCCGUACUCUACUUUAAAAAAUCUUAGGUUAGGAGAAAUUGAACCGACGUCUAUAACUCUUCAAUUAGCCGAUAGAUUUUUAGUUUACCCGAAAGGUAUUUUAGAGAAUGUGCUAGUGAAAGUCAAUAAAUUUAUCUUCCCUGUCGAUUUCUUUAUACUUAAUAUAGAUGAGGAUAGGGAGAUACCUCUUAUCGUAGGGAGACCGUUUUUAGCCACGUCGAAAACGCUAAUUGAUUGUGCUAGUGGUGAUCUUACAAUGACUGUGCAUGAUCAAACAAUCAAAUUCAAUGUUUUUAGUGCUAAUAAACAUCCAUGUGAUAAUAAUGAUUGUUUUGCUAUUGAACUUAUGGAUUUUACAACUUAUGAAAAAUUUGAUGUUUUGAACUUGGACAAUGGGAAAGUAUCUUUGAGUGCAGGGGAUGAUGGCAGAAGCGGGAAUGGAACGGAGUAAGUUUACUUCAUGGACUCACUUUCAACUCCUCCGAGAGAAAGUCAUACGAGUCGAGGUCUUAACGACGAUGAGAAUGCAAGGAAGAUGUUGCCACCCAAAGACUCGAGCAAGUCACGAGAAAAGGAUGAGACCUAUUGUGGUCGUAAGGAGAAAAUCAAAAAGGAAUUGCACAAAGGACAAUUGGUGUUAUUGUGCAAAUCCCGUCGCUGGUUAUUUCCAAGGAAGCGCAAAUCAAAGUGGUCGCGGCCGUUUAUCGUCCAAGAAAUUCUUCCUCACGAGGUGGUCAAAAUAAAGGAGCGAGAUUCAAAUCGUACGUUCAACGUGAAGCGGAGCCGGCUCAAACCGUAUUGGGAAGCGAGUGAAGAUUGCCAAGUGACUUCGGUCACUUUUGCUUGAAAUUAAAGAAGCAACGUCCGGCUGAAGACUUUAAACUUAGCGCUUCUCGGGAGGCAACCCGAGCUUUAUUGUUUUUCAUAGUUUUCUUUAAUUUUUCUUUUCGUUUUCAUUAUCAUAGACAUGCAUUCUAAUUAAUAUAUUUGAAUUUUAAUUUUCAGGGUCGAAAACAUGGUCAGGGGGUCAGACGGCCGUCCGAAAUUGCAAGCAAAAUCCCAGACGGCCGUCCGGGAAACAGAAGGCACAAUUGAGCAUCACAGCAUGUGGGACGGCCGUCCCAAAACAUUCCUAAUUUGUGGGACGGCCGUCCCAAAACAUGUAACGAGAGAAACAUCUCGGACGGUCGUCCGAAAAACAGCACAAAAACCGGGACAGCCGUCCGACUAUUUUUAGGGCGUUUUAACUUUAAAAAAUUAGAUUUUUUCCCCCAUUAUUUCCUAAACCCUCCUAUUUCCUUCUCUCAAACUCUCACACACAAAAGGAAGCUAGAGAAUCAAACCAAAUUCUCCAAAAUCUACUCUUUCAAGGCACGUCCACAAGGUGUUCGAUAAUUUGCUCAAACCAAAUUUUGAGUUCGAUUGUCAACCAAUUCUCACCGAAUCUAUUCCAACCUCUCUCCCAACUUUCUUGUCCAACAAAAGAAGUCGCACGAGUGAAGCUUCAUCUUCUAAAGGCAAAGGAAAAGGCAAGAAAAGAGCCACCAAAACGACGAUUCCCCUUCCAAAGCCGCUCCUCAAGCCCGAGACGACCCCAAAGCCUCAAGCUCCCGUGCCGAUCGACGAUUCCGAAUGAAGAUGGAGCGAGAGAGCUUUCCGAUGAUGAGGAGCAUGAGAGAGCUAGGGAGGAGCACCCCGAUCACAUCGACUCCAACUAAAUAAUGUGUUUUCUAUCCUUAAACUUUGUGCUAAAUUCGUUGAGGGCAACGAAAAUUUUAAGUUUGGGGGUGAAAAACAUGUUAUUUUUGUGCUUAUUUGUUUUAGUUUGCAUGCAUUAGGUUUUAUUCGUUUUUAUUGUUUUUCUCGUUUUUCCGGAAUAUAAAAAAAAAUAAAAAAAAAAUAAAAAAAAAUAAAAAAAAAUUGCUUGAGUCGAAUGCAUCGAUGAUUUGUGAUGAUGAGAGAUGAUCAAUGUUUGAUGAUGAGAUUGCUUGUUUUUUGUGAUAAGGAUUUGAUGUUUGUUUAGCUUUCGAUUCAACGGGACUUAGAAGCGAAUUAUUGCUAGGAAUCACAUUUUGUGCAUUGCUUUGGUUGAAUGUUUUGUAUUUUAAAUUUGGAAUUAAUUUGUGCUAGAUCAUGCUAUGAUCGGUUUUAAGACUCACCUUAGGAAAUUUAUGAUACGAAGUAUUGAGUAGUGAGUGAUUUGGGAUAUGAUUUGGGCCUUCUUUGAACCGUUUGAGCCUUUCAAGCCGACCUUUUUAUCGAAAUUAUCCUUAGAACCAUGAUUUGAGCCUCGGAGAAAAGGUGUUCUUUCUUUUAGCCAAUGUGUAAGGUAGAAUAGGUGGAGAUUCUUGAAAAUUACCCCUUGGAGUUCGGUCGAAAAUUUUUAUAAGGUCCUUCUUCUUCGAAAAAAAAAAAAAAAGACAAAUAUAUAUGAACUUAUAUAUAUAUAUAUUAAUACCGUUGCAGGAGAGGGUCGGAUAGACUUGGCNNNNNNNNNNNNNNNNNNNNNNNNNNNNNNNNNNNNNNNNNNNNNNNNNNNNNNNNNNNNNNNNNNNNNNNNNNNNNNNNNNNNNNNNNNNNNNNNNNNNGUUGUUGAAUUAUUUUUGAAAACUCAAUCCAUUGCCUCAAAAGCAAAAGUGGAGACUUUUGAACUUUUGAAAAUCGAGUUUAUUAAAGUCCUUAGAGGUGAAUUCAUUGUUUCAAACGCCUAUCUUUCAAAUUUUGGCGUAAUCACCUCAAUUCAAGAAGAAAUAGCCACAGAUACCCAUAAUUCCUACCUCGAACCAAAGAGUCUAACAAUUGAAAGCCACAAAGCCCCAAUGAUCCCAAUAGCUUAAUGUUCGAUAUUAGUAGAGUAAAAUAAUUUGGUGAGUAUUUGGAGUCAAGCAUAUGCAUGUAAGUAUAAAUUCUUUCUAUCUUUAAUUUUCAAAUAUUGGAUGCUUGAAGCAAUUGUAUGAAUUGUGGUUUUUGGUAAUGGUGAGUGACUAAGUGUUGUUGAAUUUUGAGCUUGCGAAUGCCUAAGAAUUGUCAUUAUAAUUACAAGUUCUGAAAACUUGAAGUUGAUCAUUGAUCUAUGUGAUGAGAUGUAAUAGUUGAGUUAUUUGCUUAUUGGUAGAUUUUGCUUGAGGACAAGCAAAAGUUCAAGUUCGGGGGUGUGUUAAGUGUAUAGUUUUACACUUUAUCCUAUCUUUUUAUUUGAGCUUUUGGUGUGUUUUAACGAUAAUUAUAUUGGUGCUUAAAAAGUUGAUUUAUUGUAUUUUAGGUACAAAUUGAAGAAUUGGAAAAGUAUGGGGUCAAAACUGCAAUUUUGGAGAAAAUAUGGUCCGAAAGUGAAAAAAAUCAAAAUUCUGAAGAUUUAAAGCUCGGACCCCCGUCCCAGUUUUAGUUCAAAUUGUGGGACCCCCGUCCAAGACUCCAAAGUUGCGCAGUAAAGGGAUUUUAAUUGCACAAGGAAACUGCCUUCUUCCCCAAGUUCUUCACCCUAUAUAAGACCAA